rnacentral:lncRNA from 1 species
CUUCUUCUUCAACCAGUCUCUCAGUAGCUUCUUCCUCUUCCACCCAUCCAUGGAAGUAUGAAGUCUUCCUUAGUUUCAGAGGAGAAGACACCCGCAAAAGCUUUACUGAUCAUCUUCACUCGGCGCUUUGUCAAUAUGGAAUCAACACUUUCAUAGAUGAUCAAUUCAGGAGAGGCGAACAAAUAUCUUCAGCACUCCUACGGGCAAUUGAAGAAUCAAGGUUUUCCAUCAUCGUUUUCUCUGAACACUAUGCUUCUUCAAGUUGGUGUUUGGAUGAACUUACAAAGAUUCUUGAGUGUGUCAAAGUGGGGGGACAUACAGCUUUUCCGGUUUUCUAUAAUGUAGAUCCCUCUCAUGUAAGAAAACAAACAGGGAGUUAUGGAGUAGCAUUUACAAAGCAUGAACAAGUUUACAGGGACAACAUGGAGAAAGUGCUCAAGUGGAGAGAAGCUCUAACUGUGGCAUCCGGACUUUCUGGAUGGGAUUCGCGAGAUAGGUAAUUCUUCUAACUGGAUUUCUUUGUUUUCUAUUUGGGUGUUGCUCUUUUUUUUUUCUUCUUUUUCUUUUUCUAAGUUGGAUCUACUUAAAUUUCUUUCUGGGAAUUGAAGUAUGUAUUAAUUCAACCUUUCCUGUUGGUUUAUCAAAGAGAAAAAUGAUAAAGCGAGGACGAGGUUUGGUGCUCCUUGAUCUCAAAAAUGACAAGAAGCAUAGGGUUGUUUUUCUCGUGACUAAUGCUUGAACACUUCUUCAAACCCUAUUGGAUCAGUGCUUUUUCAAUCUUUCCGAAGACCUACUGGGAUACCCGACCCUGCCCAUUAAUUAAUUGGAUCACCAUAUAUGUUUUUGCAGCUUUGAAAAUCAAUACUUGUGCCCUCAAAAUGCAUCCAAUAGCUUUUCUAGUGUUCCUAACCUCAUUUCUAGGACAUUCUUUACGCAGACUGCUUAAUUGGGAGAGUAUUAGACUGAAUAAUAAUAUCUUUGGAUUAUAUAAUUUCACAAUACAUUAUUCCUAGCUUCACGUCUCACAGCAUGAUAAUGGGAUUAAGAGUUUGAUCAAUUUUAGCUUCAUCUCGUUGAGUUAUAUAUAUUUUGUCUACCUUUGGUUUUUUUUUUUUUUUUCAGUCGCAACAAAGAAGAAAUCUAAGCACUGCUAUAUUUAUCUGUUUUUCUUUGUCCCUUUAUGACUUUAAAAAGAUGACCAUAUGAUUGUUCUCAAUUUGAAUUUCGCAGACAUGAAUCCAAGGUUAUUAAGGAAAUUAUUUCCAAGAUCUGGAAUGAACUGAAUGAUGCAUCCUCAUGCAACAUGGACGCUCUAGUUGGAAUGGAUUCUCAUAUACAAAACAUGGUUUCAUUAUUAUGUAUUGGGUCAGAUGAUGUUCAGAUGGUAGGAAUUUGGGGCAUGGCUGGUAUAGGUAAGUCAACCAUUGCUAAGGUUGUUUAUCAGAAAAUUCGCACUCAAUUUGAAGGUUAUUGCUUUCUUUCAAAUGUUAGAGAAAAAUCACUAAAAAAUGAUCCAGCUGAUAUGCAAAUGGAACUCCUUUCACAAAUUUUUUGGGAAGGAAAUCUAAAUACAAGAAUUUUCAAUAGAGGAAUCAAUGCUAUAAAAAACACGCUCCACUCCAUGAAGGUCCUUGUUGUUCUUGACGAUGUGGAUUGCCCACAACAAUUGGAGGUUUUAGCUGGAAAUCAUAACUGGUUUGGUCUAGGAAGUCAAAUUAUCAUCACAACCAGAGAAAAGAAUUUGCUAGAUGAGAAAACGGAAAUAUAUGAAGUUAAGGAAUUAAACAACAGUGAAGCUCAUAUGCUCUUUUGUCAACAUGCCUUUAAAUAUAAGCCUCCUACAGAAGAUUUUGUACAGCUAUGUGACUGUGCCCUAAAUUAUACAAAGGGCAUUCCCUUAGCCCUUAAAAUCUUGGGUUGUUCUCUAUACAAUAGAAGCAAAAAGGAAUGGGAGAGUGAAUUGGAAAAACUCAAAAGAAUUCCAAAUAAAGCUAUUCAAGAUGUGCUGAGAAUAAGUUUUGAUGGAUUAGAUAAUAAUCAAAAGGAUAUAUUUCUUGACAUCGCAUGCUUCUUUAAAGGACAAGACAAAGAUUACACCACAAAAAUACAGAAAAGUUGUGAUUUCUUUCCAGAAAUUGGAAUACGUAAUCUUAUAGAUAAGUCUCUCGUAACCAUUUCAUAUAAUAAGUUGUGCAUGCAUGAUUUGAUACAAGAAAUGGGAUGGGAAAUUGUUCGGCAAGAAUCUAUUAAAGACCCCGGAAAACGCAGCAGGUUGUGGGUUACUGAGGAUGUCAUUCAUAUGCUAACAACAAAUAUAGUAAGACCUAAAUGCAUAACUUUUUAUUUUUUAUUAUUAUUAUUUUUUUUUAAUUUUUACUUUGAGCUCAUAGUCUGCUCUUGGUUCAUUGUUAGGGGACUGAAGCAGUUGAAGGCAUAGUCCUUGACUUGUCGGCUUUAAAAGAGCUACACUUCAGUGUUGAUGUCUUUACAAAGAUGAACAGAUUAAGAGUGCUCAGAUUCUGUAAUGCACAAAUAUGUGAAAUCUGGGAUUAUGCUUGGAAACGGGGAAACUAUGAUUCGUGUAAAAAUCAGUACCCUAAAUGUAAAUUGCAUCUAUAUGGGGAUUUUAAAUUUCUAUCCAACAACUUAAAAUCUCUCCAUUGGGAUGGAUACCCUUCGAAGUCUCUUCCAUCAACUUUUCAUCCUGAGAAGCUUGUUGAAUUAAAAAUGAGCUUUAGUCGGCUUGAACAACUAUGGGAAGGAAACAAGGUAUAAUUUAUAUUUUUUGUUUUUCUUUAAAUGGAUUAUAAAGUUCAUCAAAGUUGAUUUGUUCUAGCCCUUUUUUUCCUCUUUUUCUUUGACAGUCAUUCCAGAAGUUGAAGUUCAUCAAACUUAGCCACUCUCAACAUCUAAUCAAAACUCCGGACUUCUCUGGAGCUCCAAACCUCAGGAGAAUUAUUCUUGUAGGCUGUACAAGCUUGGUCAAGGUUCACCCAUCCAUUGGAGCUCUCAAGAAGCUUAUUUUCCUGGAUUUAGAAGGCUGCAAGAACCUCAAGAGUUUCUCGAGUAGCAUCCAUAUGGAAUCUCUUCAAAUUCUUAAUCUCGCUGGCUGCUCAAAACUGAAGAAAUUUCCAGAGGUCCAGGGAGCCAUGUAUAAUUUACCAGAGCUUUCUUUAAAAGGAACUGCUAUAAAAGGAUUGCCUUUGUCCAUUGAAUAUCUCAAUGGACUUGCUUUAUUAAAUCUGGGAGAGUGCAAAAGCCUUGAGUCAUUACCGAGCUGCAUUUUUAAGUUGAAGUCCCUGAAAACUCUUAUUCUUUCAAACUGCUUAAGACUGAAGAAGCUUCCAGAGAUACGGGAAAAUAUGGAGAGUUUGAAAGAGCUUUUUCUAGAUGACACUGGUCUAAGAGAGCUACCUUCAUCAAUUGAGCAUCUAAAUGAGCUUGUUUUGUUGCAGAUGAAAAAUUGUAAAAAACUUGCAAGUCUUCCAGAAAGCAUUUUUAAGUUGAAGUCCCUGAAAACUCUUACUAUUUCAAACUGCUUAAGACUGAAGAAGCUUCCAGAGAUACGGGAAAAUAUGGAGAGUUUGAAAGAGCUUUUUCUAGAUGACACUGGUCUAAGAGAGCUACCUUCAUCAAUCGAGCAUCUAAAUGGGCUUGUUUUGUUGAAGCUGAAAAAUUGUAAAAAACUUGCAAGUCUUCCAGAAAGCAUUUGUAAGCUGACGUCUCUUCAGACUCUUACUCUAUCUGGUUGUUCAGAACUGAAGAAAUUGCCAGAUGACAUGGGGAGCCUACAAUGUUUAGUAAAGCUCGAAUCAAAUGGAAGUGGUAUACAGGAGGUACCCACCUCUAUUACUCUUUUGACAAACCUUCAAGUAUUAUCAUUAACAGGAUGUAAGGGAGGGGAAUCUAAGUCAAGGAAUCUGGCUUUAUCUUUGCGCUCAUCACCAACAGAAGGAUUCCGGCUGUCUUCUUUGACGGCUUUAUACUCCUUGAAAGAGUUGAAUUUAAGUGACUGCAACCUACUGGAAGGAGCACUACCCAGUGAUCUUAGUUCCUUAUCUUGGUUGGAGCGUUUAGAUCUGAGUAUAAACAGUUUCAUCACCGUGCCUAGCCUCAGUCGACUUCCUCAACUCGAAAGGCUCAUACUGGAACACUGCAAGAGUCUUCAAUCAUUGCCAGAGCUUCCAUCAAGUAUUAUAGAAUUAUUGGCCAACGAUUGCACAUCCCUGGAAAACAUUUCAUAUCUAUCAAGUGGAUUUGUAUUGAGGAAGUUCUGUGAUUUCAACUUCGAAUUUUGUAAUUGCUUCCGACUAAUGGAGAAUGAGCAGAGUGACACUUUGGAAGCUAUCCUACUCGCAAUUCGGCGUUUUGCAUCAGUAACGAAAUUUAUGGAUCCAAUGGAUUAUUCUUCGCUUCGCACAGUAUGUUAUUAUUUGUUUGCGUAUGCUAAGAAUUCUUAGAACAUAAUUUAAUGUCGUGUUAAAUAAUUGAGACAAUCCCACAAAUAAUCUUGGAAUACUAAUCCUAGAAUAUUAUUUCUCUACAUGCAUGCCGCUAACUUUUUCAUGAUUCAGUUUGCUUCAAGGAUUCCGUAUGAUGCUGUUGUUCCUGGGAGUAGCAUUCCAGAGUGGUUCACCGAUCAGAGCGUGGGGUGUUCAGUAACUGUAGAGCUGCCUCCGCAUUGGUAUACUACCAGGUUGAUAGGAUUGGCUGUUUGUGCUGUUUUCCACCCAAACAUCAGCAAGGGUAAGUUCGGCCGUUCUGCAUACUUUAGUAUGAAUGAAUCUGUCGGCUUCUCUAUCGACAACACGGCUUCCAUGCAUUUUUCAAAAGCUGAGCACAUCUGGUUUGGGUAUCGAUCCCUUUUUGGAGUGGUUUUCAGCCGGAGCAUCGAUCACCUGGAGGUUUCAUUUUCUGAAUCCAUUCGUGCCGGCGAAGUGGUGAAAAAGUGUGGGGUUCGUCUGAUCUUUGAGCAAGAUCUUCCAUUUGGCCGGGAGGAGAUGAACCAUGUGAGCUUGAGGAAAUCUGGUCCAAAUUUUUUCAUUCCUUAAUUUAUUAAAAUAAACAUAUUAAAGCAAUAAUUUUUGUAAUUGCUGAAAUGUUAUGCUACAUAUUUUUAACCAUUAAAUAUCUUGGUAAAGUUGUUUUAAGUGAAUACGUACCUUUUUCAUAAUCAAUGAUUCUAAUGAAUAAAAACUUAUUAAUUUAUUUUAUAAACUACUCUUAAAUGUUAUAUUUUAAUUAUUUUUAGUUAAAUACAUACAAAUUCUAAUAAAAACAUGUUUUUUCAUUUUUUUUAAAAUGUAGAAAAAAUAAUACUUUCUUUUGAUUUACUUUAUUGAAGAGUCCACCAAAAGUCUUUAGUGAAACAUAAAAAGAAUUCAUUUUAAGUUGAAUCAUUUCAUUCAAUUUAAUGAAAAAUACGUUAAUUUCUUCAGAUAUCUCAACAUGAAGAAAGUGAAGGAAGUUAUUAUAGGUGGAGACUCAGAUAUCCGAGGUAAUCACUUGCUUUUAAUAUGUUUUUAGGUCUUUUUACUACUCCAUUAGAUUAAGAUAUGAACAAAAUUUUGAUUUCCUCUUUCAUUUAAACUGUUUUGAACUAUUUCUUUUUCUUCUUUAGUGUGAACAUUGUCCAUGAUCAUUUCUUGAAGUAUAUUCAAGAUUUGAUGCUCACCUACUCCAUCUAUGUUCUAUUCAUAGAUGUCAUCACCAUCAUACUUUGAUUAGAUGAUUUGAUUCCUUUCUUCAUAUUAAAGAUCAGGAGGUGUUGGUCUAGGGUAAUAAUUUCUAGUUUUGUUUUGUUGUUUGAAUUGAUGGUUUAUUCUAUUUAUUUGAGGGUCUUGAUCCUUAAAUAUGGAUUUCAACCUAUCAAUAUUUAAAUUUGAAGUUUCUGUUAUAACAUUUACAACUUUUGUAUUUGUAGAGGAAGGUUUGAAGGAGAGGUCUAGUUGUUCUAACCGAUUUGUUAAUCUAUUGAUUAAUUCAUUGUUCGAUUUUGAAAAUUUGAUUGGUUCACUUCCUACUUCCGCAAGUUUGAAAAUCAUACGAUUUUUGUCUAAUUUUUGUUUGGAAAUUGGGGAAGAGUGAUUAAAGGAUUAUUUGGAAGUUCUAAGUUGUUUUCUAUUCUAUCUAAUUGAGAAGAGAGAGUACCUAACAUUUGAUUAGUAAAUUUAUUUUUUUGUUGAAGGUUUUUACAGUAUUUUAAGGUUACUGUUCUUCCUUCAUUAUCCUUUAAUCCUAUUAUUUUGAAAGGUGAAGCGAUGAUUUCAAUAUUUCGAGUUUUUAUGGUUAUUUCCUCUAAAGGAGGAUGAUUCGAAAUAACAAUUUUGCAUGACGUAGUUUUCCAAGGUUGGUUAUCUAGAAAAUAUAUAAUAUUAGUGAAUUGAAUUUUUUAAUUUUCAUUUUUAAAACCAAAUUUUAAUUGACUCCAUUCUAAUUUAUUUAUAGUUUUCUUUAUUUCAAUAAUGAUUUUGAAUUCAAUAAAUAACAUAUCAUUUUAUUUCAUUUUGAUGAUCAUUGUGGACUAAUAUUUUUUCAAUUAUUUUAUGUGAUUAAAUUCAUAUUUGUAUUAAUUGAACAUAUUUUGUGUGCUAAGUUGUGCCUUUUUGUCUUAACUAAAUAAAAAACUUGAAAGAAAUUAAAGAAUUAUCUAGAGGUUGACGAGAGUUUAGUUUUAAUAGAUAUAUUAUGCUAGAGUAACAGAGUUGGACACACAAGAACCAAUAAAAAAAACUAGAAAAAAAAUGAGAAAAUUAGGAAGAGAUGUAAUAAAAUGAAUAUAUAUAUAUAGGGAUUAAAAUGGAUUAAAAUAUUAUUUUGUAUAUUAAAAGAUUAAAAUAUAUUUUAUUUUGUAUAGGGAGACUAUUUACCAUUUUUUUUAGUAUAAUAACCAAAAUAGUCGUGUGAGUGCUGUUAGACGCAGUUGGUCUGUUGAUUUAAAGCCCCGCACGAGUAGUCGCCAAACAUGGUGGUUUAGCUACGCCCAAAAUUCUACCGCGUGCAAAGAAUUGGAUGGAGGCAAAAGUUAGUGGGAAAGUUGGCAUUAAGGUAUGUAGUGGCAGUCUAUAAAUAAUAUUAUGGACACGGUGGUAUUUUUUAGAAACGAGUAGGGCCCAACCGCCACUACAAGGAAAAAGGUAUAUGGUGACAUUUAUAACGAGUCACCAUAAACAUAGGGUGUCACUACAACAUAAUGUCACCUUCUCCACUGACACCAUAGAGGGUACCAAUUGGUGACGUACUUGGAAGUGACACCAAAGUAGAUAAAUGGUGACCCAUUCGGAAGUGACACCAUAUAUUUCUAGUGAUGAUAGGGUGUCACAUUAAAUACAUCAUCUUUGAGUUAUGAUGUCACAUUAAAUGCAUCACCUUUGAGUUAUGGUAUCACAUCAUUGUAAAUUAUUGUGGAAGAUAUGAUUGGUUUUAGUUGUUGAUUUUUGUAAUGCUUAUGAAUUAAUAAGAUUAAUCUGUUUAUAUUUUGUCCAUAAAUAUAACAAUCAUAUUAUAUUUAACUCAUUUUUCUGUAAUGUUUCUGGAAUAACUCAUAAUACAUUAAUCAUCUAAUGAUAUUUGUAUAUCAAAUGUUCACAAAAGGAUAGUACGUCCAACAUAUCAAACCCAUUAAAACUAAAAAAGAAGGGUGAAUACAUACCAAAACAUGAUUCAGAAAUGUUAAAGAUCCCAAGAUUCAUGUAUACCUCCAUUUCAUAAGCAUAAAACCGGCUAACCAUAAAAUGACAUAAAAGUCCCAUCUAAAAAUCUAAACUUCUCAGUUGCAAUUAAAGUAACGUUUAUGUCCUAUAACGUAUGACAUAAGAGUUGCAUUUAAAAACCCAAAAUCUUGUUGCCUUCUUCUUCUUUUUUAUUCUCCAUUUCACCCUCCCAAGAGUGUAUACCUGCAUUUCAAAAUUUAAUGAGUUUUAGAGAUUUUUAUUGAAGAAAAUAAACAUGGAUCGAUGUUAUCAUAAAUGAACAAAUCUAAGAACUAUUUUUUUUUUUCAAAUAGAAACAUUAUCCAAAGAAUAAGCAUUACUAUACAAUACCUAUGGAAAAAUUCAUGUAGUAGCUAAGGGACUCACCAUGCAUGGUGAUCAUGAUGCAUCAACAUGAUUCAUGAUUAGUUGUAGCACAAAAGUAGCCCAUUCUCCUCUAAUUUCAUCGAAUUCUACUUGAGAAUAUGUUUUUUUUUAUCACCAAACUGAAAUCAAAUAAGAAAAUAACAUUAAAAUGCAUAACAUUUGAAGGCCUAAAACUAUGUACAAUUCAUUAAAUAAGUAAUACCUUUGAAGCAAUAAUUGUAGGAUAAAAAAAUUAUCUUUUUAGUGAAUCUCAUAACAAAGUAGUCACAUUCGAACCCUCCUUCUUCUCUUGGACACUAAUCGAUCAAUUAUAAAAUAACAUUAGUACUCACAUAUAUAAAUGGUGCAAAUGCAUAAGCUAAUGUGUAAAGAAAAUUUUUUGGAUGUCACCUGCACUAGUUGCUAAGAUGGCUCCCUCUUAGAUGUUUUCUUUGCAAAUAUUCGAAGAGCCCUAUGUAAAUAAGUUCAAUGGGUACAUUUUUAAAAUAGGUAAAUGUUAUAUGUUUUAAUAUAUAUAUAUAAAUAAUAAAAAAAAUGUGUUUGAGGUGAAUGUAUUUUUUUAUUUAAAAAUAAUACUAUGAAAAAUAAUAGGAAGAACUUACAUGUUUACGAUGUCAUUUAAGUCCUCACAUGGUUUGUGAUGCAUAGGGUCAAGAUAAUGGACUAUCAUUUUCCUUGGCUCAAGCACUACCUAAAUAUAAACCCUCUAAGUCCUCAUAUCUAUUUCUAUUAACAAAAUAUAAAAACUUUCCAAAACUCAACUACUUAAAUAUAAAAACAAAAUCAAAUAAAAUAUCUAGCUAAUUGGAUUUUAGAAACUAAAUAAACUAUAAAUAAACUAAAUAUAAAAACUAAAUAAAAUAUCUAUGCCCAUGAAUUAAUUGAAUAGGAUAGAAAGACAUAGAGAGAACAUGGUUAUGGUUAUGAUUUCCAUCUUAUCAUCUCCCGUCAAUACCACACAUGCCCAUUUUAAGGUUGGACACUACUUUUGUUGCUAGACUUGGAAAGGGAACUUCAAAAUUGAAAACAUAAAUAAACCCUUAUGUAAAAAAAAAUAACAUUAAAAUAUAAUUGAGCAUUAAAAUAUUUACUCUCUUUCAUCACUUUCAUUUGAAUAUUAAUAAUCUCUUAUUGAGAUAGAUACUUACAAUUUAACAAAAUAGAAUUUCCUAAUAAUAAAAAAUAUAAAAAUUUCUAUUUCUAUUAACAAAAUAUAAAAACUUUCCAAAACUCAACUACUUAAAUAUAAAAACAAAAUCAAAUAAAAUAUCUAGCUAAUUGGAUUUUAGAAACUAAAUAAACUAUAAAUAAAUUAAAUAUAAAAACUAAAUAAAAUAUCUAUGCCCAUGAAUUAAUUGAAGAGGAUAGAAAGACACAGAGAGAACAUGGCUAUGGUUAUGAUUUCCAUCUUAUCAUCUCCCGUCAAUACCACACAUGCCUUCCCGGAUUGGUCCUUUUGGGGUUGGAUACUCUCAACGAAAUUCUAUAUCUCAUUCCCACUUAGAUACAAACAGAAAAAUCAUUCUUUUUUUUUUCCUCUCUCGUUUUUUAGAAAGGAUGAAGAUUAUGUGAUAAUAAAUCUAAAAAAAAUUAUGUACCUGUCAUUCUCACACAAAUACAUAUUAAAAAUCAUUCAUUUUUUCCUGUUUUUCACUUUUUUUAAGGACUUGAUCAUGUGUUUGGUUUAGAUGAAAAAAUCAAUUAAUCUACAGUUUUUUCUUCUAUGCUAGAAGAUUAAACCUAAAUUUUUUUUCCCUACAACUCAAGAAAACACAAUCCACAAAAACCAUAAUACAAAGAUGUUGAAACAAUUAAUAUAAUGACAUUAAUAAAAGAAAAAAAAAAUGACAGAUCCAAGAGAUUUUGGGUUACUUGGGAGUCCACAAAGUGAAGAAUGUCCGUUGUGAGCGUGUUGACUAUGGAUGGGUGAGAAAAAAGGUUGAAGAAGAUCAUGAUUUUAUAUAUAGGAUUUAUAUAUUGAGAUUUUUUGGAUUGUGGGUGAGAUAUGGAAACAAUGGGAUUUUUAUAUAGUAUCCAUCAUUAUUAAUUCUAAAAGUGGGCUCAUUAAGUUAUAAUACCUAAAAAAAUUUAUUUUAUAUGAUGUCACUUCCCAAAAAAUGACACUAUAAAUAUAAAAUUAAUAUCAUCUAACUACCUCAAUUGAAGAUUUUUUAUAUGAUGUGUCACCUUUAUUAAUUAUAAACCCUAUGGUGUCAUUAUUUUAAAAGUGACACCGUAAAUAGUGACACCAUAAACUAUUUUUGUAGUAGUGCGCUCUCAUACAUAUCUCAUAAAUAAUUAUUAUGUUCAUCUUCUUACACCCUUCCUUUACUCCUAGCCUCAGAUUCUCUGCUUUCGCACCAAGUCCAUCUUCUCUCUCCCAUUUCACUCCCUUGAAGUCGAUUUCUCUAUCAUUUUUCACUGUGUGAAGAAGUGGUUUCUCUUUGUAAGAUGCAUUUUCUCUUGCCUUUUGAUUUCUCUAACAAUUUCAAGAACUAAUCUCACUCUGGAAACUUUCUAUGGGCAUAACUUCUCUCGGUGCAUGAAGAUUACUGAUGUUGGAGCGCUACACAAAUACUCCAGUCAUAAAUCUUCAUACUCUUAUUUCAUGGAAGCACCGAUAAGUCUGUCUUUUUAAGCACAAGAUCUCUAAUAACUAAAAGUUUGAUAGAUGUUGUUCGAUUGCUCUAUGUUCAGGGGCUUGCAAAUGCUUUUGUUUCUACUUGGAUCAGAAAUCACUGAUGCAUCUGUUGCUGCAAAUGCGUCAAGCUAUUCAAAUUGAGAAUUGCUUGGAUUUGAGCAGGUAUGCUUUAGUCCCUAGUCUUGAUUGUUGCUGAGGAUUUAUGAGACAAUCAAUUAUUCUUGAAAGCUACUUGCUUGGGUAACUUGCUAAGGUUCUGUUAGUCUUCAGAUUAAGGCAGUGUGAAUGCUUCUCACCUAAUUAUGUUAUCACCCUUCUUGAUUCUAGAUGAUUUGCAGCUACCUCAACAUUUUAUUCAUUGAGUGAGGUAGUUGGCAAAGCUCUUUUUAAGAGAAAAAGAUUAUUCAUACUCUGGUAACAUCUAUUAAAACAGAAAAAGGUCUGUGAGGGUAGGUUUUCUAAUGGAAACAUUUGUAAGCUGACGACUCUUCACUCUUAUACUCUCUCUAGUUGCUCAGAACUGAAGAAAUGGCCAGAUGACAUGGGGAGCCCACAAUGAUUAGUAAAGGUCGAAGCAAAUGGAAGUGGUAUACAAGAGGUACCCACCUCUAUUACUCUUUUGACAAAGUUUCAAGUAUCAGCAUUAGCAGGAUGCAAGGCAGGGGAAUCCGUGUCAAGGAAUCUGGUUUUAUCUUUGCGCUCAUCACCAACAGAGGGAUUGGGUCUAUGCUACUUGAAAAUGCUGAAUUUAAGUGACUGCAACCUAUUGGAAGGAGCCUACCCAGUGAUCUUGGCUCCUUGUCUUCAUUGGAACGAUUAGAUCUGAGCAGAAACGGUUUCAUUACCGUGCCUGGUAGCCUCAAAAGGCUCAUAGUGGAACAACACUGCAAGAGUCUUCAAUCAUUGCCAGAGCCUCCAUCAAGUAUUCAAGAUUUAUGGGCCACACAUCCCUGGAAACCUUUUCAUAUCCAUCAAGUGCAUAUGCAUUGAACGAGCAGAGCGACACUGUGGAAGCUAUUCUACGGGGAAUUCGGCUUGUUGCAUCAAUACAGAAAUCCAGAGCUCCAAAUGAGCAUUCUGCCUUUCCCUGGAUGUUCUAUUAUUAAAUGUUCGCGUGUGCUAAGAAUUCUUAAAACAUAUUUUAAUAUGGUGUUAAAUAAUUGACGCAAUCCCACAAAAUAAUCUUGGAAUACUAAUCCUAGAAUAUUAUUUCUCGACAUGCCUCCAACCUUUUCAUGAUUCCUGGUAACCCUGGUCUAUCUACUUAGUAUAACAUUGUUGCUUAUGGAAGUACCAUUCCAGAGUGGUUCAUCCAUCAGGGGGUGGGGUGUUCAGUGACUGUAGAGCUGCCCCCACAUUGGUAUAAUACCAAGUUGAUGGGAUUGGCUGUUUGAGCUAUUUUCAACGCAAACAUUACCAUGGGUGAGUUGGCCGAGUUUUUAUGUUUUAGUGUGAAUGAAUCUGGCAGCUUCUAUAUCGACGACGGGGCUUCCAUGCAUUUUUCAAAAGCUGCCCACAUCUGGUUUGGUUAUCGACCGCUUGCUGACCUCUUUUGGGGUUCUGGUGGUCCGUUUAGAAACCAGAGCAACACUUUGAAGGUUUCAUUUUCUCUUGAGAAAGUGGGGUUCGUGUAGUAUCUGAGCAAGACGAUAAAUAUGGGGAAUGGAUCUUUCCUUUUGGCACCCUGUGGCCGGGAGAAGGAGAUGAACCAUCUUUUUCAAUAGGCCUCGAUAUCCUGUACUCCCCAUAUAAGCUUCAGGAAAUCUGGUCCUGAUUUUUUCAUUCCUCAAUUUGUUAAAAUAAAUAUACUAUAAUAUUAAAGCAAUAUUUUUUCUAAUAGCUCAUAUGUAAUGAUACUUAUUUUUAACCAUUGAAUAUCAUGGUAAAGUUGUUUUAAGUGAAUACCUUCUUCUAUAAUCAAUGAUUCUAAUGAAUAUAUAAAAACUUAUUAUUUAAUUUUAUAAACUACUCUUAAAUGUUAUGUUUUAAUUAUCUUUAGUUAAAUAUGUACAAAUUCUAAUAGAAACAUGUUUUUUUUUUUUAAUGUAGAAAAGAUAACAAUUUUUUUUGUUUACUUUAUUGAAGAGUCAACCAAAAGUUUUUAGUGAGCAAAAAAAAAAAAAAAAAAUCAAUUCAAGUUCGAUCAUUUCAUUCAAUUUAGUGAAAAGUACUUUAAUUUCUCCGGAUUCGAAUUAAAAGUUCAAAUAGAGUUGAUUGUAAGAUCAGUAAGCACAUGAGAUCGAAUUGUUGAAUAGUUUCACAUUGUAAUUAAAUAUUUGGUAUUGCUAGUCUUCCAAUGUUAACACUUCUAUAAAAUUAGAUUUUGAUUAUAAAGGUCAUAUUUAAUAGUAGAGAUAAGGAUGGUUUCACAAAAGUUUUCUCAUACCUCAUGGUUGAUUUACCGGUAGAAGUACGUGUUUCAAGUUAAAAGCUUUAUUUAUAACUUUUUAUUCCUUUUUUCUUUCAUAAAUCUAUAUCUUUUUUUGGAUGAAUAGUGUUUUUAUGGUAGAUUUUAUUUUUUAAAAUUCAAUUGGAGUGUCUUCUAAGAACUGUAAAUAGUAAAAUAUGAGAUUUUUCAUUUAUAAAUCCAAAUGCGAAAUAAAUGGAGGAUUGUUAUAUAUAAUAUGGAAUGUGUUUAAUUUAUUCAACAUUGAUAAUUAAAUUGGUUUCAACUUUUAGGAAAUUUUAUUAUGAGAUAAAUAAAUAAUAUUUAGAAGUAUUUACAUUAAUGCUAUGAUAUAUUUUUUAGAUAAUAAAUUCAUAUUAGCAUUGGUUUUAACUACUUUUGGUGGGUUAUAAACUUGUACAAAGUUGUGCAUGUUGAUGGUUGAUGUAUAUGGUGCAAAUUAUGUGUUUAUAUAUUUUAUGUUAAGAGCUCAUGUUGAAUGAAAGGAGCAAGAGUACCCUAAGAAAACUCCAAAUGAUGAUUAUAGUAUUGACUAAACCCACGUAAUAGUGACAUUCACUCCAAGCAUAGGGUGGUUGGUUGGUUGCAAGUAAUAAUUUAACCCAAUAAGUCAUGUGUCAAAUUAUAGGGACUAACUUCAAGGAUUGGAGAAUGUGUAAUAGAAGUUUGGGUACAAUGUGUAUAAUAAUAUGAUUCAAGCUUCAAAAUUCUAAUAUAGAGAUAUGAUAUGUAUAAUGUCAAUGCACCUUUAAAAUUAUAUGUAUAAUAAAUUUUGGGAAUCUCACAAGGACUCUUAUGAUUUGCUAGUUUUUCUGGAACGUGUAAAGAAUGUCAUUGGGCAGCUAACCUUAAUUUGUAAACCAGUUUGGUUAUUUACAUUAUACUAUGAUUUUUUGACUUAAAAAACUAUACAAGGCGAGGAGGUUCAUGCUCACAAAGAGGCCCCAUGUAUGGGACACUAGCAUUAUUCUUUUUAAACAUAAUAUUUUUUACAUUUCCAAUUAAUUAUUAACAUAUCGAGAGCCUACAUGUACUUUUUAAAGAUAAUAUGGUUUUGAUUCCAUUACUUAAGCAAGCGUACUUAUGUAGGUAAAAUUUGACUUAAAUUCAUGGAAUAUUUAUAACUUCGUAUUUUGACUCAUUAAUAUCUUCCUUUUUUUCUUCUUUCCUUUUCUUUUGAAGCCUUAAGCAUAUACUUAAGACAUUCUAAAAGAAGAACUCACAAGAGAACAAGAUCCCAUUGUCUAUAAGUGCAUAUCUUUAUGUCCCAUUGCUAAAUCAUCAUAAGGAACCACUAAUGUUGCUAGAACAAUUACUACGUGAGAUUUUAUUUUAUUUUUUAAAAAACAUUUAUUAUUAUUUAAAUGGUAUGCAUUGCACCUACAACUGAGUUAACCCAUAAUUUUUUCAAUUUGAUUUAUUAAGCUUUUUCAUUGAUAUACUCAAUGCUAAAACAUGCAAUUUUUCUCAAAAUCAAUAAUAUUUAUUUUCAAGUCUUAUUUGAAAGUUUAUUUCUUUUUUGAACAAUUAAUAUGCAAUCAUCCAAUAUUAAUAUAUUGAGUGAAACAAGUUUAUUUAAAAGUUGGUUUUAGCAAUUGAUUCAUUUCUAGAAAUAUCAAAAGGUUGCCUUCUUACUUUUGUUUUGCUCAUACCGAGGAAGAAACAAAUUCAAAAACAAACUCAUUUUAAGAACUUAAAACAUAAUAUUAUAUAAAAGAAAAUGCAACCUUAGGAAUAAACCAACAUGAAGCCAUGAGGUAUAGGCUAAGUUUGGUCUUGGCUUGGAUUGGUUACCACAUGCAUGGAUGGUAGCUAAAUAGCUAUACAAAUCUAAUAUUCCAAUAGUAAGAUAGUCCUAGUGUCCAAAUUAAAAGAGGUGUUUCUCCUUGAAAAUACAUCCAUUUAUUAAGGCAUUUAAGUCUUCAUUUUUUUUUAACUAUGAAGAUAAUGAAAUUUGGAUAGUAAGUCACAAUUGAAAGUUGGGAGAAACUUCCUUAGUAGAAAGUCCGUCAAACAUGGACACUUGCAUGAGAAGCCCUUUAUAUUCUUUCCUUCUUCUAGCUAGGUUAGCUAACAUCUAGAAAUAAAUAUUUAAAUUUAUAUUUCCAUUAGAUAAUGCUUCCAAUACUUUUCUAGCAAAAGCUUCACUAUCCAUCUCUAUGGUGCUUUAGUUUGAAUAACCAUCCAAACAUUUGUGAAUAACCAACUUUAGAGAAGAUGAAAUGAUCCAUUCUACGGACACUUAAUUGAAAGUAUUUACAUAUUAAUUUAUUUAGUUAUAAAAAUUAAGAAACUUACUAUUAAAUUCUUUGGAGCUAAACAACUUAAGAAAAUGCUAUGAUAUUCCCAUCAUUAAUUAAAAUUUAGACAAAUGUGCAAAGAAAACUACCAUAUAAAAUUUUUAACAUGAUGUUAAAAUAAAUUCUAGGAUAUGGUGGAAGCCAAAUUUAUAAAUCCUACACUAGCAAACAUUUAAUGAAUUAUUUACUAAAGUAACAUAAAAUAUUAAAUUAGAUAAAAAUAUUAAAAAUUUGAAUAAAGUAAUUGAUUUCACAGGAAGAAACAAUCAUGAGUUAUUCAGCCAAAUUAUUUUUCAUUAAUGAAAAACAAAUCAAGAUUUCAUUUUUUUACUAUAGGGAUUUAAUUUGUUACACCAUAUUUGUUGAAUUAGGUUGAAAAAAUAUCAUAAAAUAAAAAGAAAAAAGGAGUGAGAAAUAUUUUCAAUGUUGAUACCUUAUUGUUCACCAAUCUUAUAAUAUUUUGAAUGUAUAAUUUCUAAAAACUAACAUGAAAAUGAAAGAUUUAAAAAGUAAUAGUAAUUGGGAUGUUUUUGUGUAAAAAUGCUACCCUAAAUAUAUAAAUACCUUUUUUCUCAUUCCUCUCUCUCUCUCUCUCUCCCCUAGUUUCCUUUUUCUUUUUGACUUUUCAAUCUUGCUUUUAUCUUUUUUCUUUGUGGUGUGAGAAAAGACAAGAAAAUUUUAGUAUUUAUUUAUUUAUUUAUUUAUUUUUGUUUCAAAGUAGUUUUCAUAUGGAGUCAUAUAUAUCCCUCUUUUAUUUGACCUUCAUCUAAACCAAAAUUGGUAAAACAAACACCAAAAUUUUUCUUAAUUAAAAUACAUCAAAAUACUUGGAACAUUAAAUUCAACCAUAAUUUUUUUCUUGACAGAUAAACCAUUGCAUCUUAUUCAACAUCAUCAUUAUUUGCAUUACUCAUCCUCGAACUUAAGAGUGACAUUAUUGAGUUAUUGUACCCCAACAAUUUCUUUCAUAAGAACUUAAACUUGUUAUCCUUAUUUUUUAAUCGAAUUCUUAAAUCUAAUUUUGACCAUCUCAUUUAAAAAUCAAUCCUUGUAUAGCGUGGGUUAGUUAAGCCUUUUAAAAAAGGAGACAACUUAGCAUAUAACUAAGAGUUAAAAUCUAAUUUGUUAUGCAAGAUGGAUAGAUUAGAAUGAGAUGGUCAAGAAUGAAACUUCCUAUGAAAUUCGAUGUUACCAUUCUUUUGAUGAUUACACAUCACAAUACGUAGAAGUAGUAUUAUUGCACUCAAUGGUAUGUAGGCAUCACCUGCUUGGAUGUAAGCCAUAUAUUUACUUUUUUAACUCUAUUAUAGCUUUUCCUUAUAAAUUGUAAAUUUUAAAUAAAUUUCUCUUGCAAUUCAUUGUUAGAAAAUUGUCCUUAUAAAUAGUACAUUUAGAAUUUUAAUUAAAUAUGUCAAAAUAACAUAAAAUAUUAAAUUUUUUAUUUUUUUAGUAAUAAAAUUAAUUUUAUACUGGAAAAUUAAAUUUGAAAAAUAUUUUUAUUAAAACAUCUAAUUUCACUAUUUAAAAAAAAUAAAAUAAAUGUUAGCAUGUUUGAGUGCAUUAUGUUUCAAGGAAAUGGAAUUAAGGAAGAAGUUGAAAAAGGGAUAUAUUCAAAUUAAAGCCCAAAAAAGGGAAAAUGGGAGGAAAAAGUGAGAGAGAAAAGGAGGGACAAGUGGGAAAUAGGGUAGAGCCACUUUCAAUAACACUUUUUGGAUUGUGUAAACUUCCACUUUGUGGACCACCUUGGAUGAUAAUUUUUAGCCGUGUGGACCUAGUUUCAACAACAUUCUUUCAAUCUUGUGAACUCCAUUUUUUGGACCCACCUUAGACAACUUUUUUCAGUCAUGUGGACUCCAAUUUCAAGUUUCAAUAACACUUUUUCAGUCAUAUGGCUCAUUGACACGCAUCAACUCCACACUUAUCUCAUAAGUGUACUUGGUUUUUGGAAAUGUUUUUGCUAGUGAUAGUUCAAUUUGAACCAAAUCAGUAUAAUGUAUAAUUUAAUAUGGUUAAUACAAGCAUAAUUCAAUCUUAUUUUUCUAAAUUUAAAUUAAGCUCGAGUUAAUCAAUUUAGCAUUAGAAGACUAGGUUAAUAAGUGAAUUAAAUUUGAGUAGAAUAAAAUCAUGUAUGAUAUAAUAAAUAAAUAAAUUUCUUUAAUGAAUUCAAAGAUAGUAUAAAAUAAAUAUGGAUAUAAAUUAUAAAUAUUAUAAAAGUAUUAAAUCAAGUUUAUGUUAGGCUAGCUUAGAUCAUUCAAAUCUUGACUUAAAUUAAACUUGAAUUAAAUUCGGAGAGAAAAAUUUGAACUUAAGCCUAAUUCAUAUACUAAAAAUGAUUGGUUGAUCCUACUUUAAAAUUGGAUUGAAUUCAAUUUAGGUUAUACUAAUCCGUCCAAAUUGUAACCUUAUCACAUAUCAAUAUGGUGAAAAUAAUAAAAGAAAAAUUAUAGUGGUGCAAACACCUUUUUUCUUACCAGAAUUAAUUAUCACCAUAGCAUAAUGUAAUAUAAUUAUUUUUAUAGAAUUUAAAAUAUUUAUUUUAGAUUUUCAUUUCAGUUAAUAUCUAAACCCUAUUUUCUAAAAACUGUGAUAAAAACAAAAAUAAUGUUAUUCCACAACUUUUGCAACUCGCCUUUUAACUUCAUAUAUAAUUUUAUGUAACAAUUAUAUAUCUUCUUCAAAGUAUUGACACAUUAAUAUGAAAAAUUAGAAAAAAAAUAAUUUAUUUACAAUAAAUACUUUGGGGCUAAGCAACUAAGUAAGGCAAUCUAACAUCCUAUUGGUGAAUUUUCAUUGAGAUUAAAUGCUAAGAAAAGGAAAUGGAUUGUUGGUAGGUGGACCUAGCUUAGACUAUGCUUGUUAUAUAAGAGUUAUAUUAUACAUAGAAAUUUUUUUAUACUAUAUAUGCUUGUACAAUUGAAUUGAAAAGAAUCCAUUUUUCACUUACAUAACAUAACCUCAAAAAAAAAAAAAAAAAAAAAAAAAAAAAAAAAAAAAAAAAAAAAAAAAAAAAGAAAAAAGGCAACAACAACAACUAAAGGAAAAUGGAGAAAAAAGUGAAAGAAAAUGGAAAAUGCCAGUGGGAAAUGAAGGUUCCCAAGUGGACUCAGUUUGGACAACUCUUUUCGAUCGUGUGAUCCCCUUAGCCUUUUUAAUCAUGUGGACCCUAUUUUAAAUAUCAAUUUUUAACAAUGUGAACCCUACUUUCAACUUUUCCUUUCAUAUGUGCAGACACCACGUUCAACCUUCAUUUCCAUCUAUGUGGACCCCACAUUCUAAUAGAAAAAAAAUGAUAUUAUUCCACAAUUUUAAUUUGAAACUUGCCUUAAAUUUAGUGAUAAAUUCAUGUAAAAAAUCUAACAUCCUAAUAGUAAGUUAGGUGGUCCUAGUGUUCAAAUUAAAUGAGGUGCUUCUUCUUAUGGGAAAUACAUCCAUUUAUUGAGAUAGUGACCCUCUUCUCUUUUCCUUUUUAAAAUUGUGAAGGUAAUGAAACUUGGGUGAUGAGUCACAAUUGAAAGAUGGGAGAAACAUCCCUAGUACAAAGUGGGUCAAACAUGGAACUUGUAUAUGAAGCCUCUAUCCUCUUUCAUUCCUACUUCCAGCUUAGCUAGUCUUUAUAAAUAAAUUUUUAAAUUUAUAUUUUCAUGAUAUAGUCAAGCUUCCAUGACCAUUUCUAUGGAGCUUUUGUUUGAAGAAGAAUCCAAACAUUCGUGAAUGACCAACUUAGGAGAUGAUUUAACGACUCAUUCGAUCAAUGAACCAAACUUACCUUUUUAUUUACAAAUUUAUGUAAAACAUCUCUCCUCCUAGAAUUGACAGUAAUUUGAUAAGUUACAACAACAAAAAAAAGAAGAAAAAGAACUUACUAUUAAAUGCUUUGGAGCUAAGCAACAUGUAUUGGAUUCCUUUUUCUUUUUGACUUUUUUGCCAUUCCUAAGUUUCUGACGUGUCUCCCUGUGGUUUCCUUUUUCUUUUUGGGUUUGCAACCUUGCUCUUGUCUUCUUUUGUUUAUUUUUGCCUUGAUUUAGUUUGGACUUCAGCCACACCUACCAUCUUGAAGUUACGAUUCCCUGGAUUGAUCAUUCAAGUUACCCGUCUUCAAACCAUUCUUCUUCCAAAUUGCAAAUGGCUUCUUCUUCAACCAGUCUCUCCGUAGCUUCUUCCUCUUCCACCCAUCCAUGGAAGUAUGAAGUCUUCCUUAGUUUCAGAGGAGAAGACACCCGCAAAAGCUUUACUGAUCAUCUUCAUGAGGCGCUUUGUCGAUAUGGAAUCAACACUUUCAUAGAUGACCAACUCCGGAGAGGCGAACAAAUAUCUUCAGCACUCCUACAGGCAAUUGAAGAAUCAAGGCUUUCCAUCAUCAUUUUCUCAGAACACUAUGCUUCUUCAAGUUGGUGUUUGGAUGAACUUACAAAGAUUCUUGAAUGUGUCAAAGUUGGGGGACAUACAGCUUUUCCGGUUUUCUAUAAUGUGGAUCCCUCUCAUGUAAGAAAACAAACAGGCAGUUAUGGAGUCGCAUUUACAAAGCAUGAACAAGUUUACAGGGACAACAUGGAGAAAGUGCUCAAGUGGAGAGAAGCUCUGACUGUGGCAUCAGGACUUUCUGGAUGGGAUUCACGAGAUAGGUAAUUCUUCUAACUGGAUUUCUUUUGUUUUCUAUUUGGGUGUUGCUUUUUUAUUCUUCUUUUUCUUUUUCUAAGCUGGAUCUACUUAAAUUUCUUUCUGGGAAUUGAAGUAUGUAGUAAUCCAACUUUUCCUGUUGGUUUAUCAAAGAGAAAAAUGAUAAGGCGAGGAUGAGGUUUGGUUCUCCUUGAUCUCAAAAAUCACAAGAAGCAUAGGGUUGUUUUUCUCUUGGGAUUAAUGCUUGAACACUUCCUCAAACCCCAUUGGAUCAGUGGUUUUUCAACCUUUCCGAAGGCCCACUGGGAUACCCGACCCGGCCCAUUAAUUAAUUGGAUCACCAUAUAUGUUUUUUUUAUCAGCUUUGAAAAUCAAUCCUGGUGGCGUCAAAAUGCACCCAAUAGCUUUUCUAGUGUUCCUAACACAAGUUCUAAGAUGUUCUCUAUGCAGACUGCUCAAUUGGGAGUGGGUCAGACUGAAUAAUAGUAUCUUGGAUUAUAUAAUUUCACAAUACAUUAUUCCUAGCUUCAUGUCUCUUCUUUUAUUGGAUACUAUGUGCAUAUUAUUCCUAGCUUCAUGUCUCUUCUUUCAUUGGAUACCAUGUGUUGCCAUCCUAAUAGCAUGAUAGCAGUCAAUUUUAGCUUCGUCUUGUUGAGUUAUAUAUAUUUUGUUUGCCUCUUCUUUCUUUUUUCUUUUUUAUCUUUUUUUCAGUCGCAACCAAGAACAAAUCUAAGCACUUCUAUAUUUAUCUAUUUUUCUUGGUCCCCUAAUGACCUUAAAAAAAAUGACCAUACGAUUGUUCUCAAUUUGAAUUUUACAGACAUGAAUCCGAGAUUAUUAAGAAAAUUGUAUCCAAGAUCUUGAAUGAAUUGGUGGAUGCAUCCUCAAGCAACAUGGAGAAUCUAGUUGGAAUGGAUUCUCGUAUACAAGACUUGGUUUCAUUAUUAUGUAUUGGGUCAGAUGAUGUUCGGAUGGUAGGAAUUUGGGGUGUGGCUGGCAUAGGUAAGACUGCCAUUGCUAAAGUUGUUUAUCAGAAAAUUUGCACUCAAUUUGAAGGUUGUUGCUUUCUUUCAAAUGUUAGUGAAAAAACACAAAAAAGUGAUCUAGCCAAUAUACAAAUGGAACUCCUUUCACAAAUUUUGUGGGAAGGAAAUCUAAAUACAAGAAUUUUCAAUAGAGGAAUCAAUUUUAUAAAAAAGGCACUCCACUCCAUGAAGGCCCUUAUUGUUCUUGAUGAUGUGAAUCACCGACAACAAUUGGAGGCAUUAGCAGGAAAUCAUAAUUGGUUUGGUCGAGGAAGUCGAAUUAUCAUAACAACCAGAGAAAGACGUUUGCUAAUUGAGAAAGAAGUGGAUGCAACAUAUGAAGCUAAGGAAUUAGAUGAGGAUGAAGCUCUUAUGCUCUUUCGUCAGCAUGCCUUUAAACAUAAGCCUCCUAUAGAAGAUUUUGUUCAACUAUGUGACCGUGCCCUAAAUUAUACAAAAGGCAUUCCCUUAGCCCUUAAAAUCUUGGGUUGUUUUCUAUACAAUAGAAGCAAAAAAGAAUGGGAAAGUGAAUUGGAAAGACUCAAAAGAAUUCCAAACAAAGAGGUUCAAGAUGUGCUUAGAUAUAGUUUUGAUGGAUUAGAUGAUAAUCAAAAGGAGUAAGAGUUUGAUCAAUUCUAGCUUCAUCUUGUUGAGUUAAUUUUUGUACUCAACCAUUUUUUUUUUUAGUUUGCUUGCACAAAUAUGGGAAGGAAACUAUGUAUGCUUUAUAUUUGUUGUUUUUCUUUAUGGAUUAUAAAGUUCAUCAAAGUAGAUUUGUUCUAGCCCUUUUUGUCCUCUUUUUCUUUGACAGUCUUUACCAAAGUUGAAGUUCAUCAACCUUAGCCACUCUCAACAUCUAAUAAAAACUCCAAACUUCUUUGGAGCUCCAAAGCUUAAGAGAAUAAUUCUUGAAGGUUGUGCAAGUUUGGUUAAGGUUCACCCAUCCAUUAGAGAUCUUAAGAAGCUUAAGGCCUUGGGCGGUGUUUUUGAAAACUUGUUUUUAAAAUAAAGAACAAAAAACAAUUUUUUAAAAACAAGAGUGUUUGACAAGAUGUUUAAAAAAAAAUCGUUUGGAUGAAAGAAUUGGUAUUGUUUUUUAAAAACAUUGUCUUAUUUUUAAUUUAUAAAAAUUUUAUAAAUUUAAUUUAUAGUAAUAUGAAAUCAAAUUCAAGUUAAAUCUUAUUAAAAAAAAAUUACAAUUAUGUAUUCAUUAAAGAUAAAUAUUUUUUUCAUUAUGAAACAAUUUUUUUUUAUUCUAGUGAAACAAAAAUUACUAUAAGAUAAAAAUAAUUUUAAUAUUCAUUUUUAAUACAAGUCAAAUACAUACUUCAAUUGUUUUUUUUUCUAUUGACAAAAUAAAUAAAUAUUGAAUUAAAAGUAGCUAGCAAAAAAGUAAGCAAAAAAAGCAUAAAGAUGCAAAAAAAAGUAGUUCAAGUGAAUUACAAUAGUUGCAUAAUUUUUCUUACUCCUAAACAUUAAUAAAAUUAUUUAGCUAUAAAUUUUUACAAAUUAUUAACAUAAGCAUUCCACAUUUGUUGAAAAAUAUGAUUUCGAUAAGCUACCAUAGCUGCUACUUCAUUGAACAAAUUCAUUGUAUGACUUGUUUCACCCGUAGUAGUGUCUUCCUUAUCUCCAACUUCAAAAUCUUUUUCUUCCCAUUAUCUAAACAUUAUAUCUUGUUGAGUCCACAUACGAAUGAAAUUAUGAAUAUUACAAUAAGUUAUAACUAUUAAUGGUUGCCUACUUAGAUUAAAAUAUGACAUCAUUUUUAAAAUUGGAAAAUGUGCUUUAAACACACAAAAACAACGCUCAAUUCUAUUUCUAAGUGAGGAAUGCUAUAAUUGAAUAAUUCUUUGUAAGUCCUUGGUUGAUGACCUCAACCAUGAUAAUCUUGUAAAUGAUAUCUUUCAGCUUUUAAUGGAGGAAGAAAACUCAUAGUACAUGGGUAUCCAAAAUAAACCACGUGGUAUUCACCUAUUAAUAUAGCAAAGCAAAAGCAAAAUGAUAAUCAUAGAAUUAUAUAACUAAUUAAUAAAUUAGUAAUUUAAAUGGUUUUAUCAUUUACCUUUUUAAGCCAUGGAAAUUUGUUUUCAAGUCUUAUAAUUGCAUUAAGAAAAAUUCUUGAAUCAUUUGCAAUGCCUUCCUAACCUGCAUAAACAAAUGUAAACAUCAUAUCAAAAUUGUAUGCACAAAACAUUUUGAGUCACUACAACCUUUCUUCCUCUAUAGCUAACUUGUUUUUCAAUAGGAACAAAUGCACUUAUGUGUGUGCCAUCACUUGCACCAAUGCAUUUCUGUUAACAACAAAACAUGAUGAUUUUUAGUUUUGAUUAAAGCACUUAAAAUAUUUUAAAACUUAUAUUAAUAUAUAUGAAGUCUUCCCUAAAACCAUGGAUAAUACUUUAAGUUGUUGACAAUAUGAGAAGGCAAUGGAGAGCUAGUAUGACAAAUAAAAUCUUUUGCAAGUUUACAUAUUGCCCUCAAAGUUCAAGUGAAAUGUCCAUUCACAGUCUCAAAUGAAUGUUGAAAAUGAUCCACUAUAACUGUUAUUCCCACAUUAUGACCAAUAAUUAUUAGAAACAGAGCAAGUGCUUCUUCAACCAUGACUUCUCAAGAGUUUUUUAAAUGCUCAUUUUCUUUCAAAGAGGCAUAAAGAAGAAGAAGAAAUGUGAUUUCAUUGAUCAAAAAUAAUUCUUAACAUGUUCUUUCAUAGCUAUUCAAUAGCCCCAUCACAAAAUCUUCACCUCUCAAAAUGGAUGUCCUUUGAGGCAUCUUAUCCAAAAAUCUUUCAUCUUAUUCACAUACAUAGAGUAACAUUAUAUAAUCUUCAAAAUCUUCUAUACUAGAAGAAGACAAGGAAGAUGAACUAAUAACACAAUGGGAUUUAUGAUCCAUAUACAGGGUAAUCUUUUUAUCGUGCAUAUAAUAUCACCACACAUAGUAUCAUAUAUAAUAGUUUUAUUAAGUGAAUUAAUAACAAUAUUAUAAUCAAAAUAUCAAGAUAAAACCUAAACUAAGAUUAAAAAAAAACACAAGAAAAUAUUUUAUGUAUGUUUAUCAUGUAUCAAACACACAAGAUAAUGAUUUAGUACACAAUAGGAAAUAAAAAGCAUAAAAUAAACAACCAAUAAUUGAAAACAAAACCAUGAAUUAAGACUAUAUAUGUAAAAAUAAAACUAAAUAUAUUCCAAAUAUGUCAUAUAAAGUAAAUUCAUCCAACCAAUUAAAUCCAUAUGUAUCUAAACAACCAAAUAAAGCCCAAGUACAUCCUAUCUAAUAAAAAAAAAACCCACAAAUAACUACAAUCUCGCUAAUCGAGAUUUCUUUCUAUCGAUAGACAUAUGAACAAAAAUCUCUCUAACUUGGAUCCUUAAAAUUCUCCAUUGCUUUCAUUUAAGUAUCAUCAUCAAUUUGCUCAAUCUCUUCAGUGAGACACACAUAAUUAGUCAAGGAGAAAUCUAAAUUGAUAGUAAAAUUGUUUUUGCAUUUUUCUGUUUAGUUAAAGAAACUUAUGUUUUUACUUUAGCUACCUCAAUCCAUGCUUGAAGCACAUCACACAUCUGUUGUGAUCUAAUCUCUUUUUUAAUUUUGUGCUCAACACUUGUUAUUGUUCGUUUUUCAUGUUAACUUGUUGAUUCAUCAAAGAUAUUAAAGGGAUCACUAUGGUUAGUGCUAUUAGCAUCAAGACCAACAUGAGUUCUUAAGUGGAGAAAUUGCUUCUCCAAUUCUAUCUCAUCAUUCAUAUCAAGUGGAUCUUGAGUGGAUGCAACAUGAAGCACUCCAAUAGUAAUAGAUUUAUCAAAUAUGAGUCCCAAUAGCUUGUAAUGCUCACAUCCUCUAUUUCAAAAUUAUCAUGCUUUUAGACGAGUCUAACAAAAUAAAUAAAAAGUAUGAAUUUUGUAAACCCUCCAUUUUGUCCCUUUAGCACAUGUCUUUAAGUUCACUUCCGGUUCUUCACAGUACUUCCUUGAUGGCCCAUUACUACUCAUACUACUUACCUUUUUUUAGCCACCUUAUAGACUUUGGUUGAGGGAUUUAUCUAACCCCAUUGUGACUCUUAGUAGUCCUAAUUUAGACUUAGGCUUUUCCUUCCUUUUUAGGAUAGCUUUUAGGUGCACUUUUAAGAUAGCACACUUAGGCAUGCUUAGGUUACUUAGACAAUGUCCUGAUCACUUUAGGUCACUUAGGCAAUGUCCUAAACACCUUAGGCCCACUUAGGUACACUUGGCUCAUUAGGCACCACCUUAGGCCACUUAGGCACUUAGCUCAUUAGGCACCGCAUUAAGCCCACUACCUUAGGCCCAUCUAGGUUCACUUAGGCCCACUUAGGUUCACAUUGGCCCACUUAGGUUCACCUAAGCACACUUGGCCCAUUCCGUUCGCCCUAGCACACUAGGACACACCCUAGGUCACCUUUAGGCAUUUCUCCAUGGUUUGCAUGGUUUUCGUAUUUUUAUUUUUAUUUUUUAUGGUUACAUGGCUCGUAUGGCUUGCAUGUGGUUGAUUUUUAUUCUUUUUUUUAGCUACAUGAUUUAAAUUUCUUUUGAUUUUCAAUUUCAUGAUAUUUAUUGAUUUUAAUCUUUGUUUUGUUUUUAUUUUAUUUUAUCUUUUUUUUUUUUUAUUGUUAUUUUAUUUCUUGCAUGAGGAAACGAUUGCUAGAUUUUUGGAAAGAGGAUCACCAAGAUUUUUCACAAAGGAAAGUCCAAAGGCUGCAAAUGGGGUGCAAAUGUUAAGGAUAUUCACACACCAAAGGGAUUCUAGUUCUAGAAGGAAAAAUAUUUAGAGGGGAAGGUGGAAUUCUCCAGAUUCGUGGCUACCAUGUGAAGAAUUUUCUCCAAGAAAGGAAGGCAUGGUUGAAGCACAAGAAGAAGAGAUUCUUAAAAAAUACAACAAACAUAUCAUAUGGGAUUCAUGCACCAUUAAAGGAAGGAUAAGAGGUUAGUAAAAGUUCUUUCUUUAACAGAGAGGGUCCACAAUAGGGGAAAAAGGAAAGGAUUCUCUUUAUCCGAAUAAAAAGGGAGACUCACGGAUGGGAGAAGGUGGGAGGAAUUUCUCCACUGAUCAAAAGGACGGGCAGCAAUGGAUGAGAUGCGGCUUGGGUAGUGUGAAUAUGUUAGUAGAACGUUGAGGGUUGUAGGAGAGGAUUAGAGAUAGAGACACUAUGGCUUUGAGAAGAAAGGAUCAUCACAGACCAAAAAAGGGAACCAGAUGAGAGGAAGGAAAGAAGAGAAGCCCAUGAGUUCUUGAAUUCCAAAUAAGAGAGUCCCCAACAUCCUCUCGAGGCUUGAAAGGAAGAAGUGGCAAAUGGAAAUUUUGUGGAUGUAAAUUUGUUGGCUGGGAUCGAGUAUUCUCAAGUGGGAAGUAAGAUGGUUUCGACUUCUGAUGAAAAAGAUGCACGUUGUAGCACUACUGGAUAAGAGCCUUUUGAGGCAAUUGAUCCAUCUUUGCCGAUGAUGGAGAUUUCUAAUGUAGUGAGCUAGAAUGAACCUCAAGCAAUGAUCACUGACAAAGACAAUCAAGAGUCUAAGAAGUUGGAAUUCUGCCCUGUUCUCUAAUUCUACAGUGAAAGAGAAUGUUGGUACUGUAGCAUGAUGCUGCAGGUGAAGAUGCAUUGAGGGGUUGGCUAGUUGCUGCAUAUGCUACAAACCUGGAGAAAAUUGGUCAUGAGCCAAGUAUGACUAUCUUGUAAUAGUCUUACGAUAAGAUGAAUAGUGUUUUCUCUACCUUUUUAACCCAAAUGCAGGCCAAAGGUUGGCAUACAGAUUGUUUUCUUGAUGGAAUAAGAAACCGUUUUGCCAGUUAGUAUUUUGCAGUUUCAGAUGGAGCAGAUAUUUGUUGUUGGUCUGGUAGCUAGUGUGUUGGAUGAAAAUAUAAUUUGAUGUUGGUAAUGGGAAGGAGGCUACUCCAUAUGAUUUGCAUCUCAUGAAAGAGCCACGUGAGAUCCCCCGCAUGGUGGAGAUCUGUUAUUGAAAUCGGUGGGCUCUCUAUUCUUAAACACCCCAGGUUACUAAGUCUAAUACAGGAUAAACUAUUUUGUAAUCUGAUCCAGUUUGGCUUGUCAAUGAGACCACUAAUUCUUUCUAUGUUUUGUAUCAUUGUUCUCAAUCUGUAUCAGCAUUUGUGGACUGAGCUUAAACUACAACUUAAGGCUUUCUUUUCCUUUGUGAUCUUGUGACUUGCUCAAAGCAGAUAUGAUGCUUAUCCCAACAGAAAAUAGUUACUAUGGAGGCUUUAGUUGACUUUUGCAAGCAUAAAACUUUCAUGAUAGAGAUGUAUGCUAACUUGGGCGGUGACAUAACUUGAAGCAAUGUGUUUGAAGACUCUGCUAAUUUGUUGUCAAAAAAAUGCAUUUCUUGUGAACUACCCUUUGUCUACUAUGCAUCUUCUUGCUUUGAAUGUCUUGAUUGUUGUAAUUCAGGGAUGACCAAACUCUGAUUGUACUUUAGAAAGAUUGAAGGUUGUUCUAUUAUUAUCUAAACUUCCAUUGGAAACAGUUGGGGAAUCAUUAAAUAUGGAGCAGUUAUUUGAUGCAGUAAAUGUUAUCCUUCCAUUACUGAAUGCAAAUGGUGGUUUUGCAAUAGAUGAACUCAAUUGAUGCACCUAGAUGGGAGCUACUGCUAUGCUUCUAGUGGAAAAGUCUAAAAAAUUCUUGGAUGUUGGAAGUAGUUUAUCAUAGUAAAGAAGUCUCCACCAAUUCAACCUUCUUCACCAUGAAAGCUCAGUUCUCUUCGACCAGACCCGUUUUCUGAGGUUGGCUUCUGCACGUGGGUUUCAAAUGGUUUGGGUUGUUGAAUGGAGGAGACGUAUUUAGUACAAAUAAAUCACAAUGGAGAUGGUACUGAAGAUGCAUCUAAUGCAUAGUCACUGUCUUUAGAGUCUACUGGUAUAUGUGAUGCCUUUGGAAAUCCAGAGGUACUUCCUCAAAUUAGAGAUCAAUACCAAGUUGACUUUCCAACUCUUAUUACAGAAUCUGAUUAUCUUUAGCUUACAAUACCCAACUGAUGCUGCAACAAUGGUUGACACUCCUCACUAUUUUUUAUUGGGAUUGCCCAUACCAAUUAUGUGGGUCACUGAUGAAAUUGAGAACAUUGAACAUGAACCUCUGGAACUUCAUGGUGCCAAAUAAUGGAAUUCAUUGAACCAACUCAUGCAAAAGUAAUUUGGGACUUGAUGGAACUCCUACAUAAGAAAAUUUUUCAAAACUCUUCCUUGCUGCCACUUUUCACUCAAUCAUCGACCCUUUAAAUUUAAAAUUCGUUUCAGCAACUUCAGAAUAUUUUUAAAAAGUUUCUGAAACUUGUAUGAUUUUCCUCAGCUCUUGAACUUGAAUUUAAAAUUUCAUUUGAGUAAGAAAUAAAUUAUGGAAUUGAAGAUAUAAAUGAGUUUGUAGGAGGGCUAUGUUUUCACCUAGUUCUGAACACCCAAAAUAUUUUUGCAAAAAUAAAAUAACAGAUAACUUUUUAAAUUUGAUUUGAUAUUUUUUUUUAAUUCUAUACUUCUUGAAAUUGAUCUUAGAUGUAUAAAAUAUUAAAAAAUAUGUCUUUUUGAGGGUGAUAUGAUUUUUUAAAGUCGUACCUACUGUACAUGAUGGAUUCUGGACGUCUGAUUAGUUAGAACGUUUUAAAAAUACUUUUGAGUGCUACCAGACCCUGGAUUCAUUUUUUUGUGAUAUAGACACUUUUAAUGAUGUAGGUGAUUUUUUGUAUGAUUUUAUGUGAUCUCUUAUUGUUUUUUAAAAGAUUUGAUUAUGCAUGUCACUAUUGUUUUUACCUAAUCUGGACCUUCUGGAACUUUUGGGUGUCUUUGCUGCUAUUUGUCAUUUGAAUGAGUGUUUGGCUUUUAGUAUCUUGUUCUAGAUGUGUAGGAGUUGUUUCCUAAAAAAUUUUGUAAUUAAAUCCCACUCCAAAACAUUUUUUUCGAAAUUAUUUUGUGAUGCUCCCUUUUCUAAUUGCAUGCUGAUGAUCUUGUACUUUGCUUGAAAUUGUUAUUUAUUUUUAGUCAUUUGACUUAUCUUGGCUCAAUUUUGGCUUUGGUGCUGUAUAUUAGUCAUAAUAAAGAUGUUAUAUAAUUUAUACUUGUCCUAACCACCAUAGCAUUUUUGAAUGAAUCUUAUAAAUUAUGCAUGCUAUCUAGGUAUGCUCUCUAUCACUCACUAUUCAGAAUUUUAUGAACAUGCAUGUUGUUGUGAGUCAUAUCUAUAUUUGAUUCCAUCCAUGGGUGCCUAGAUCUCUAUUCGAUUUGCUCUGAUAAAAUACAUGUCGUGUGUUAUAUUUCUGUGCUAACUUUAAUGUCUUAUGAUAGCACUUGAGCGGCAGUCCAGAUACACAUCCUAACCUUCCUUUGCGAUUGUGAUUUGAUUUCUUUUUUAGCAUGCUAGUUUCAAAAUCACCUUAACCUACAUAGGUACCUUCAAUUAAUUGAUUAAUUGUCAUUUCUUCCUCGACUUAGCUAGUAGAGACCUCUUUAGGGCUUAGAGGGGUGCUACCUAUUUGAGGUACCUUCCCAAUAAGUAACCGAUCCCUGGUCUUAGACUUAGGUUUUCAAAGACACGUUUUUCCAAAACUAUGGAGUCACUUCUUUAGGGUUUUCUUUUUUGUUUUAUUUUCCCUUUUAAAAUAAAUUAAAAUAAGUGGCGACUCCAACUUUUCCAAAACUAAUUUUUCACCAAUAAAAAUGAGUCUUGCCAUUAAGUAGGGACAUACAUGAAAAAUGAAGGUCCACAAAUAUACAAUAUGAUAAAUCAAGGAAAAUUAUGUGUAUACAUAUUCUAGAGUUUUAGCACAUUUACGAUAGUUUUGCCACAUGUCUUUUAUAGAUUGCAUGGUGGUCAUUUCAACAUUCUAACCAAACUCUAUUUGUUUCAAUAGCUCACUAAAUACUUGAUGCUUGGUGCGUAACCUGUCAAUGAGUAGUUCAGAUUUCCUUUUCUUUUCAAAUAUUCAUGAAUUUUAGUCCAUAUUUUUUUGUUCAAAUACUCCAUUUCUCAUAUUCCCCUUGUUCACUUACUUUACCAUGACAUCCAUGAAUUUUUUUUUUCUAUGAUAGAACUCCAUAAAUUUGACUCAUCUACAUCAUUUAAUUUAAUAGAUGUUGUUAGUAUAGAUUGAUCCAUUGGAUGUUGCAAAAAAAAAUAAUAAUAAAUAAAAAAAAUUCAUGAUGCAUAUAAGAUAUUGCAUUAUAUUUAAGUAUAAUUUAUAUAAUGAAUUUUAUUACUAUAAGCCUAUAAAAUGAAUAAUGUUACCUGAUGAAAAUAAUAUGAACAAUAGCAUUGCCAUUAGUUAAUUCUUUUUUCAAUAGUUAAUACAAUAUUAUUUAUAAAAGAAAACGUUAAAGAAGUGCUAGAGGAAAGUAUUCAUUCCAUAGAGAUGACAUCAAAGAAACAAUUACAUGAUAAUAGGCAAAACGAGAGCAAAGGUCAGGUUGAAGUGAAACAACAAGCUCAAGUUCAGAGAUGAUGCAAUAGAUGAUAAUGUGUAUGAAUUCUCACACUAAUUAAUGGCUAAAUUAGUCAACAGAAUUGUGAGAGGUAUUGCAGAAUCACCUUGAGAUGGACUGGAAGAUCAACUAGGAAAAUCAGAAAGUCAAUUUGGAAAGAUGAGAUACUAAGCAAGUUAUUAGUCAUGCUUGAAACUUUUAAAAUAUUAUUGAGAUAUAAAGGCAUUGAAUAAGCAUAUAUUAGCAGAUAAAAUUUGAAUUUUUAAAUUGAUAGAGAUAGUCCUAAAAUGGCAAUUCUUUAGAACAUUCAACAAUGCAAAACAAUUUCUUGUCAUGAUUUACACACAUGCCACUUUUAUUCAAAAGCUUUUUUAUAUUGUAUAUAUUAUUAUCAAGCCAUGGGAAUAUAAGCAUCUAAUAUUUUAAUUAAGCCACUUCAUAGUAAGAGUAUAGUUUUAUAGUGUGGAAUAUAAAGAAUACAGAAACAAUAUUAACUUUUUUAUGAAAUAUUAAAAGUGAAAUUCUACAACAAGUUGGUUUUAUGUGUGUUGUUAAGUUGUUAAGCACUAAUUCUUUGAGUUCAAGUUAGACCCCAUCAACUACUAGUUUCUUGGGCUUGUUCUUAAGGUGUUCCUGAGCUUGGUUAAUUCUAUAGAGUUUCACAAACAUUUAGAAGAAAUUACAAUACUUAGGUAAACUUUGUCUAUGAUCCUCUAGCCCCUUAUAUGUUUUUAGCACAUGAUGAAUGAAGCUUUUUUACCUUGUCCAUUCAAUUGGAAUUUGGAAUUUAGUAUGGAGAACAUGUUUCUAUUAGGCAUAACUCGGUCGAAACGAUCCAAGAUAAUAGACACUUUUGAUAAGGUUGGAUGUUAUUAUCUCUUGUGUUGAUUUUAUAGGAUAUGGCCUUGCCAUUUUAAAAUCCCAAAUUGCUUAGUUGCCAUUUUAAGAUUUUCAAGUUUAUGAGAACACCAUCAUCCCUCAGGAAACAACCUUUAUUGGAUAUACUUUCCUAAGACUAGAAAUUGGCAGUAAUUUGGACCUCCAUAUUCUAAAUAACCUCUUUCAAAUAAGAUUAAAAUUCAUGAUAAAACUUAAACCCAAAACAGAGGCUUUAAGGUAUAUUAAUUAUUAGAAUUUCAAGAGAAAUUGUGAUAAUGUUAUCAACAUUAUUAACGUUUAAAUUGUUAUCAACAACUCUCUCCAUGUCAUCUUAAAAUAUAAUGACCAACAACAGUACAAACAGAACACAAAUUCAGAUCUAGGCAUUUUAAAAGCUUGCACAAUCUUUGUCACCAAUCUUGCUAUAUUGCAAGGAACUUUCCAAUCCUAAGUACAAUCAUUUGUCACAGAAUGACUAACAUAUGAUAUGAUUGACUAAAGCACAAACAACCUUAUUGGCUUUUCUUAAAACAUGACAACACCCAACAACUUCAAAGCUCUUAAAAUCUCAUUAACAUCACAUAUGAGGAAAAAAAAAAACCCUGAAUAUAGUUAGGGUGUCAAUAUUUUGUUUUUUUUUUUAAUAUCAAUAAACAUAUUGGUAUUCAUUCAAUAGAUCAAGUUCCAUAGGUUACUAGCAUUUCCUUCCACCCACUCCUCUUAGUUACAAAUAAGCCUAGAAUCAACCGAAAAGGAAAAUCCCCAAAUCAUAUGGGUUCAAAAAUUAAACCAGGUGCUGAAAAUUAAGCAUUUCAAUCAAAUAAAAUAACACAAUAAUUUCAAUCAAACGGAGACAUACAAUCUAUUUCAAUAAAAUAGAAUCCAAAUAACCAAAACCCAUAUCACAUCUUACCUAAAUAUCAAAGAAACAUUCCUUCAAAGUCUAAAAAAUCAUAUUCCUCUUACAUUACAAACAAAAAUACAAUGUUUAGUAAGUUGAUGUCUCUUUAGACUCUUACUCUUUCUGGUUGUUCAGAACUGAAGAAAUUGGAAAAUGACAUGGGGAACCUACAAUGUUUAGUAAAGCUCAAAGCAAAUGGAAGUGGUAUGCAAGAGGUACCCACCUUGCUCUUUUGGCAAAGCUUCAAGUAUUAUCAGUAGCAGGAUGUAAGGGAGAGGAAUCUAAGUCAAGGAAUCUGGCUUUAUCUUUGCGCUCAUCACCAACAAAAGGAUUGUGACAACCUUCUUUGACGGUUCUAUACUCCCUGAAAAAGUUGAAUUUAAGUGACUACAACCUACUGGAAGGAGCGCUACCUUGUGAUCUUAGCUCGUUAUCUUGCUUGGAAUGUCUAGAUCAUCUGAGUAGAAACAGUUUCAUCACCAUGCCUGCUAACCUCAGUCAACAAGGCUCAUACUGGAAGACUGCAAGUCUUCAAUCAUUGUUAGUGCUUCCAUCAAGUAUUAAAGAAUUAUUGGCCAAUGAUUGCACAUCCCUGGAAACAUUUUUCAUAUCCAUCAAGUGCAUAUGCAUUGAGGAAGGUCGGAGAUUUCAACUUUGAAUUUUCUAAUUGCUUCUGACUAGUGGAGAAUGUGUAAGUGCUCAAGCACAUAUUUAGCAAGAUUGAAGAAUCUAUUUCUAUUCACCACACAAAAUUAUACAAUAGAUCAAUAGCUAUAUAUAUAUUACAGUAUAUAACUAAUCUAACCAUCUAACCAUCUAUUGAACCACCUAACCAUCUUCUAACUAAUCAUAACAACAUCUGUUAAAGAGAAGAAGAAUCAGUUGCUGAUGCGAGUGUUUGUCUAUCAUCCCCCUGCAAGCUAAUAGGUCUCGGGACAAUAGAGAGACAAGUACGAGUGGCUGAGAACUGACAACUUGGAACAUGUUUAGUAAAGACAUCUGCCAACUAGUCGGUAGAAGGAACAUAUAGAAUCAAAAGCUCUUUGCGGAGGACCUUAUCACGGACAAAGCGAAGAUCAAUCUCUAUGUGGCUGGAGCGGGCAUGGGAGACAGAGUUAGUUGCAAGAGCAGCAACACUGAUAUUGUCACACUAGAUCAGAUGAGUGUUCGAUUGAGGAAUGCACAACUCUUUGAGCAGAAACUGAACCUAGGAGACCUCAGGGGCGAGAAGAGCAAGUGUCCGAUACUCCAAUUCUGCACUACUACGAGAGACAACAUGUUGCUUGGUGGAGAACCAUGAGAUGAGAUUGGUGCCAAAAAAAAAAAAACCAUUGGUGCUUUUUCUAUCAUCAGGACAUGAAGCCCAAUCUGCAUCGGUAUAGCCUUGAAGAAACCAAGAUGGUGAGGCAUGGAUAGAAAGACCAUGAGUAGCAGUACCUUUGAAAUAGUGCAGUAUGCCUUUAGUAGCUUGCAGAUGAGAAGUGGUAGGAUGAGCCAUGUAUUGACAAGCUCGAUUCACCGCAAAUGAGAUUUCUGGUCAUGUGAGAGUUAUGUACUGCAGAGCACUCAUAAGACUGCAAUAGUAAGUAGCAUCAAGAGCAAAUAAAGGUUCUUCAUCUGCUGCUGAUAACAAUUUUCCCAAAGCACCAGGUGUGCUAGUAGAUUUGGCCCUAAGAAGAUCAGCACGCUCAAGUAGCUAAUGUGUGUAGUGUUGUUGAUUGAGAUGAAGAACAUGAGGAAGCCAGGUGACUUCAAUGCCAAGGGAGUAGCUAAUAUCCCCAAGGUUUCGAAGAGCAAAAUGGGAGCCAAGCUAAGAAAUGAUUUGAUGGACCCAAGGUGGAUUGCUGCCAGUAAUGAGAAUAUCCUCCACAUAGAUUAAGAGGAUGAUAAUAUCAGAUACAGAGUGGAAAUAAAAUAAAGAUGCAUCAACCCUUGAGCAUUGGAAUCCCAACUAUAAGAUAAAGGAGUUGAGCUUGUGGAACCAGGCUCCAGGGGCUUGUUUAAAGCCAUAAAGAGCCUUCUGUAGAUGACAAAAAAGAGUGGGGCAAGAGCUAUCUUCAAAGCCUGGAGGUUGCAUCAUGAACACCUGUUCUUGAAGAUCUCCAUUUAAAAAAACAUUAUGGACAUCUAGUUGUUUAGUAGGCCAGUUGGAAGAGGUAGUAAUGGAGAGAACAAGCCUGAUAGUGCAAGGCUUCACGAUUGGACUGAAUGUCUCAAAAAAAUCGAUGUCAUAGGUUUGAUGAAAACCUUGGGCAACUAGUCGAGCUUUGUACCUAUCAAUGCUACGAUCAGGUUUAUGUUUGAGUUUGAAGACCCAUUUACACCCAAUAAUUUUGGCAUUAGAUGGAGGUGACACCAAAGACCAAGUUUGAUUCUUCAAUAGAGCCUGAUAUUCAUGUUCCAUAGUAAGCUUCCAGUUGGGGUCUUGAAGAGCCUGCUUGACAGUACGUGGCUUAGCUAUGAUUGAGGUAAGAUAGGUCUUUUUCUUAUAGAUACCAGAUUUGGAUCUAGUAACCAUAGGAAGGCCAGGAAUUGGAGCUGUGGAAUCCUAGAGUGGAGUAGUAGGAAUCUCAGCUACUUCAUCCAUAAAUGGCACCUUAAUGAGCGAGAGUAAAGACAAAAAGCUGGUUAGAGGUGAUGUGGGGACAGGUUCGAAUGGGGUAGUCGGAGGAGAGCUGGUUGUGGAUGGGAAGAGAAUAGAAGAUAGAGGAAAAGGAAAUGUUGGAGUGACAAGAAAGUGAGAUGAUUGGUGGGAAGGAGAACUCAAUGCGUGAAAUGGAAAUGUAGUCUCUGCAAAGACUACAUGCCUAGAAAUGUACAAUCUGCCAGUUGUAGGAUUGAGGCAAAGAUAACCCUUGUGAGAUGUUGCAUAACCAAGAAAGAUAUAGGGUGUGAACUGUGGGUGAAAUUUGUUGGUGUUGAGAUGUCUAAGGUGUGGAUAACAAAGACAACCAAAGACUUUGAAAUGGAAAUAAUCAGGCGGGUGUUUCUAAAGAAGAGAAAAUGGGAAGCUGUAAUUGAGCAAAUGAGAAGGCAUGCAAUUGAUAAGGGUAACUGUUGUGGUGAAAGCAUAGGACCAAAAUUUGGAUGGAAGGGCAGUUGUGUAAAGAAGAGUGAGCCCAGUUUCUACAACAUGGCGCAUCUUGCAUUCGACCUAGCCAUUUUGUUCAGGUGUAUAAGGGCAAGAAAAUCUAUGGAGUAUACCAUGAAGAGAUAAAAACCAUGUGAGGGCAGUGAACUCUCCACCAUGAUUUGUUUGAAGACAUUUAAUGGUGGUCUGAAACUGGUUUUCAACAAGAGUUUUAAAUUAGACAAAAGUGAAGUGAACCUGGUCCUUGGUGGGGAGCAGAUAUAACCAUACAAACCUAGAGUAAUCAUCCAUGAGCAACAAAAAAUACCGGGCACCUAUGGAGAAAGGAACAAGUGUUGGUCCCCACAAGUCUGCAUGGAUGAGUUCAAGAGGAGAGAAGGCCCAGGAAAUGGACAAAGAAAAAAAUGAAUUUUGUGACUUAUGGCACAACAACAAGCAUUGCAAACAUCAACUAUUUUAUUUGAGUUAUGUGAAAUAUUACAUGUAUGAAAAAAUUUCUGAAGUAUUACAGCAGAAGGGUGGCCAAAUCGUUGAUGCCACAACAUAGUAAUGGGUUUAGUUUUUGUGAGAAACACUUGAUGUUUAGAAUUGGCAGUAGGUGACCUGAUAGAUGAGGUAAGAAAUUUGUAGAGUCCACAUUCAAGUUGGCCUUGGAGGAGAGUCACUUUGGUAUCCUUGUCCUUGAAAAAAAAUGAAAAAUGAUGAAAUUCAAGAAUGGUAUUAUUGUCAGUACAGAAUUUUGACACACUGAUGAGAUUUGAAGUGAGUUGUGGAACAUGAAGCACAUUGUGUAAGAUAAAGGGUUUAGCAGAAGUGUGAAGAAAAGAAUGACCAACUUGGGUUAUAGGUAGGGACUUACCAUUGCCAACCAUCAUAGAGUUAGUACCAUUGUAGGGAGUACCAUUGUGGAUAUUAGCAAUCGUGUGAGAGAGAUGGUGGGUGGCUCCUGAAUCCAAAAACUAGGAGUCCGUUGAUGUUGGGGAAGGUGUUGCCAUCAUAGCUUGAGCAGGAGGAGUGGGACUAGUUUGAGAAGUUGAUGAGACUGGUGCACGUGGCCCUUGAUAAUUCAUAUCAAAUCUAUGAUAACAAGAGAGGACCAUGUGCCCAAACUUGCCACAUAACUAACACUGUGUCGGUUAUUUGUCCGAGAUUGAUUAUUGUUGAAUUGGUUAGGGUGAUAUCAUUGAAGAUGUUGCUACCAUGAAUCUGGAAGAGUGUCAGGUCAUAGGGUUGGCAUGAACGACUGAGGUGGUUUCCCUUGAGAGGGUUUGUUGGACUGUGACCUUCAUGGUCUGUUAUGAGUUGCAAUAUUGGCAAUAAGGAGGCCUUCUUCAGCAGCCAUGGUUUGAAGAUGCAGCCUCUGUUCAUGAGUCAGAAGAAUGCUAUGUACCUCAUGAAGCUGAAGGUCAUCAUCUCUAGCUAUGAGAGAAGCCACGAUGGGGUUGCAUUCAGCCCCUAGUCCACUCAAUAAUUGAAGGAUUUGAUCCUUUUCUGGCACUAGUUCUCCAAUAGUUGCCAGACUAUCAGAGAUGUGUUUGAGUUUUUGGAUGUAUUCCAUCAUGGUGAGAGGGCCUUUUUUGGUUGUUUGAAAAGCAAGUCUCAGUUGCAUUGUUCUUGCUUUGGUGGAAGCAGAGAAGCUUCGUUGGAGGGUUGUCCAUGCUUCAUGGGAUGUUCGUAGCCCAACAAUUUGGCCCAUAACAUCUGGGGUGAGAGAAGAGUAAAUCCAACUCAGGAUCAUACGAUCAUAUCUCCUCCAAACCAGAAAUUUGGGUUCACUUCACCGGUGGAUAUUGUUUUUGGAGGACAUGGUCUCAGACCUUCAAUAUGGUCCUCAAAUCCAUUGGCAUAUAUCACAUUUUCCAUUUGUGUAUGCCAAAGGAUAUGGUCAUCUCUAUCUAGUUUGAUAGGAAGAGGAUGGUUCAACAUGCUCAUGUUCCAGGUAGAGGUUACUUGAGAAGAGACAAUCUUCGAUGUGGUUUGUGUUGAUGAAGCCAUCGGAAACUAGGUACAGUAUGUUCUUGAAGCUUUCUUGAGGUGACUAAGCAAAGCAGAAGGUAAUCUGCAAAUGACGUAUAUCAUAAGAAAGUUGCAGCAAAAAGUGUUGUUGGAGAUUUCUUGAUUGUCUUGUCGGGAGAGAAAUCAAAAAAAGAAAAUUCAGGAGCCUAUGGCUCUAAUACCAUGUAAGUGCUCAAGCACAAAUUUAGCAAGAAUGAAGAAUCUAUUUCUAUUCACCACACAAAAUUAUACAGUAGAUCAAUAGCUAUAUAUAUAUAUAUAUAUAUAUAUAUAUAUAGAUAGUAUAUAACUAAUCUAACCAUCUAUUGAACCACCUAACCAUCUUCUAACUAAUCAUAACAGCAUCUGUUAGAGAGGAGAAGAAUCAGCUGCUGAUGCGGGUGUUUGUCUAUCAGAAUGAGCAGAGUGACAGUGUGAAAGCUAUCCUACUGGGAAUUCGGGUUGUUGCAUCAAUACCGAAAUCCAUGGCUCCAAGUGAGCAUUCUGCCUUUCCUAGGGUGUACAUGUUAUUAUUUGUUUGUGUAUGCUAAGAAUUCUUAAAACAUAGUUUAAUAUGUUGUUAAAUAAUUGACACAAUCCCACAAAAUAAUCUUGGAAUACUAAUCCUGGAAUAUUAUUUGUCUACAUGCCUCCAACUUUUUCAAGAAUUCAGGGUAACCCUGGUUUAUCUACUCGGUAUAACGCUGUUGUUCCUGGAAGUAGCAUUCCUGAGUGGUUCAUCAAUCAGAGCACGGGGUGUUUAGUAACUGUAGAGCUGCCUCCACAUUGGUAUAACACCAAGUUGAUGGGAUUGGCUGUUUGCGCUGUUUUCAACGCACACAUCACCAUGGGUGAGUUGGAUGAGUUGGGCGAGUUUAUAUGUUUUAGUGUGAAUGAAUCUGGCAGCUUCUAUAUCGAUGACACGGCUUGCAUGCAUUUUUCAAAAGCUGACCACAUCUGGUUUGGUUAUCGACCACUUGCUGACCCUGGUGGUCCGUUUAGAAACCAGAGCAACACUUUGAAGGUUUCGUUUUCUGUAUCCAACAGUGACGCGGAAGGCUUGAAAAAGUGUGGGGUUCGUGCAGGAUAUGAGUAAGAUGAGAAAUAAGGGGAAUGGAUCUUUCCUUUUGGCACCUUGUGGCCCGGAGACUGAGAUGAAUCAGGAGACCAUCCUCUCAUGAAUAGCCACCGCUGCCUCGAUUUCCUGUACUCCCCAUGUAAGCUUCAGGAAAUCUGGUCCUAAAUUUUUCAUUCCUCAAUUUGUUAAAAUAAAUAUACUAUGAUAUUAAAGCAAUAUUUUUCCUAAUCGCUCAAUGAUUCUAAUGAAUAUAUAAAAACUUAUUAUUUAAUUUUAUAAACUACUCUUAAAUGUUAUUUAAUUUUAUUUAAUUUUAUAAACUACUCUUAAAGUUUAAUUUUAUAAACUUAUUAUUAUUAUUAUCAUUUUGGUAUCUCUUCUUCAAAGUAUUGACACAUUAAUAUGAAAAAUUUUUAAAAAAAAAAUCAUUGAAUUUACCAAUAAAUGUUUUGGGGCUAAGCAACUAAGUAAGACAAUCUAAUAUCCUAUUGAUGAUUUUUCAUUGAGAUUACAUGCUAAGAAAAGGAAAUGAGUUGUUGGUAGGUGUACCUAGCUUAGACUACACUUGUUAUAUAAGAAUUUUGUUAUAUAUAGAAAUUUUUUUAUACUAUAUAUGCUUGUAUAAUUGAAUUGAAAAGAAUCCAUUUUCACUUACAUAACCUCAAAAUAAUAAUAAAAAUAAUAAUAGUAAUAAGAAUGAUAAUAAUAAUAAUAAAGGAGAAUGAAGAAAAACAUAAGAAAAUGUAAAGUGCAAGUGGGAAAUGAAGGUUCUCAAGUGGACUUAGUUUGGACAACUCUUUUCAGUCGUGUGAUCCCACUUAUCCUUUUUAAUCAUAUAGACCCCAUUUUAAACAUCAAUUUUUAACAAUGUGAACCCUACUUUCAACUUUUCCUUCCAUAUGUACAAACACCACAUUCAACCUUCAUUUUCAUCCUUGUGAACCCCACUUUCCAGUAAAAAAAAAAAUGAUAUUAUUCCACAAUUUUAAUUUGAAACUUGACUUAAAUUCAGUGAUAAAUUCAUGUGAAAAAUCUAACAUGCUAAUAAUAAGUUAGGUGGUCCUAGGGUUCAAAUUAAAUAAGGUGCUUCUUCUUAGAAAUACAUCCAUUUAUUCAGAUAAUGAAACCCUCUUCUCUUUUCCUUUUUAAAACUAUGAAAGUAAUGAAACUUGGGUGGUAAGUCACAAUUGAAAGUUAGGAGAAACAUCCCUAGUAAAAAGUCAGUCAAACAUGGGCACUUGCAUAUAAAGCCUUGUCCACUUUCUUUCCUGCUUCUAGUUUAGCUAGUCUUUAUAAAUAAAAUUUUAAAUUUAUAUUUAUAUCAUAUAGUUAAGCUUCCUAUACCCUAAUGACUUUUUCUAGUAAAAGCUUCCAUGGCCAUUUCUAUGGAGCUUGUGUUUGAAGAAGAAUCCAAACAUUGGUGAAUGACCAACUUAGGAGAUGAUUUAAUGAGACAUUCUAUCAACGCACCUAAACUUGCUUUUUUAUUUACAAAUCUAUGUAAAAAUUCUCUCUCCUCCAAGAAUUGACAUAUUAAUUUGAUAAGUUAUAAAAAUUAAAAAAAAAACUUACUACUAAAUGUUUUAGAGGUAAGCAACUUAAGAAGAUGAUAUGAUAUUCCAUCAUUAAUUUAAAUUUAGUUUCAAGUGCUAAGAAGAGUUCCAUAUAAAAAAAUUUAACACAAUAUUAAAAUAAAUUCUAAAAUAUGAUGAAAGUAUAACUUAUAAAUCCUAUAUUGAAAAACAUUUAAUAAAAUAUGUACUAAAAUAAAAUAAAAUACUAAAUUAGACGAAGCAUAUUAAUGAUGUGAACCAAGUAAUUGAUUUCAUAUACAAAAGAAAAAUUCAUGAGCUUUUCAGCCAAACUACUAUUCACUAAAUAAUAUUAUGGACAUAGUGGCAUUUUAUUACUGCUACCAUCUAUUUAUUUUAGAAACGAGUAGGGCUUGACCGCUCUCAUAGAUCUCAUAAAUAAUUAUUAUGUAUGUUCUGCUUCUUACACCCUUCCUUUACUUCUCGUCUCAGGUUCUUUGCUUUCAUACCAAGUCCAUCUUCUCUCUCCCAUUUCACUCCCUUGAAGUCUUUCUCUGUCAUUUUUCACUCUGUGAAGUAGUGAUUUCUCUUUGUAAGAUGCAUUUUCUCUUGUUGUUUGUUUUCAAUAACUGAUCUCCCUCUUGAAACUUUCUAUGGGCAUAACUUCUCUCUCAACCUCUCUCUGCGUGAAGAUUACCAAUGUUGGAGCUCUAUACAAAUACUCUUGACACAAAGGUGAAAUCGAAACUUCAGGUUUAUGCAAAUUUUGGUUAUGCAGUUCAUAUUUAGCUUGUUAAUGCAGCAAAUGCAGUCCAUUAAUUUGGCAGAUAUUCCCAGUAUUUAGUUUAUUAAUUUGGUAAUCGGCCGGAUAUUUAGUUUAAUAAUUAUGUGUCCUUACAAUUAUUGAAAUGUGGAUAGAAGAAUUAGAAAGCCAUCACUAAUUAUAUUCAGCACUCAAUCAUAAAUCUUCAUACUCGACUUCAUGGAAGUCUGUCUUUUUAAGCACAAGAUCUCUGAUAACUAAAAGUUUGAUAGAUGUUGUUUGAUUGCUCUAUGUUCACGGGCCUGCAAAUGCUUUCGCUUCUACUUGGAUGAGAAAUCACUGAUGCAUCUGUUGCAGCAAAGGCAUCAAGCUAUUCAAAAUUAGAAUUGCUUGGAUUUAAGCGGGUAUGCUUUCAUCCCUAGUCUUAAUUGUUGUUGAGGAUUUAUAAGAUAAUCCAUUAGUCUUGAAAGCUAUUUGCUUAGGUAACUUGCCAAGGUUCUGUUAGUCUUCAGAUUGAGGCAGUGUGAAAGCUUCUCACCUAAUUAUGUUAUUACCCCUCUAGGUUCAAGAUAUUUUGCAGCUACCUCAACAUUUUAUUCAUUGAGUGAGGUAUUGGCAAAGCCGAAUUAUUAUUUUUUUAUUUUUAAGAGAAAAAGAUUAUCCAUACUCUGAGUAAUUAAGUUAUACCUCCAUAUGGAACUUGCCCUUAAUAUAAUAGUGUAGAAGUGAGUGUUGUAGUUGUAAUAAAUGUCCUAAGGUCUGCAAGGGUCGGUUUUCUAAUGGAAGCAUUUGUAAGCUGACGUCUUGUCAGACUAAUACUCUCUCUGGUUGCUCAGAACUGAAGAAAUUGCCAGAUGACAUGGGGAGGCUACAAUGUUUAGUAAAGUACAAAGCAAAUGGAAGUGGUAUACAAGAGGUACCCACCUCUAUUACUCUUUUGACAAAGCUUCAAGUAUUAUCAUUAGCAGGAUGUAAGGGAGGGGAAUCCAAGUCAAGGAAUCUGGUUUUAUCUUUGCCCUCAUCACCAACAGAAGGAUUUCUUUGUCGGGUCUAUGCUCCUUGAAAAUGUUGAUGAAUAAGUGACUGCAACCUAUUGAAAGGAGCACUACCCAGUGAUCUUGGCUCCUUAUCUUCAAUGGAACGUUUAGAUCUGAGCAGAAACAGUUUCAUUACCGUGCCUGGUAGCCUCAAAAGGAUCAUACUGGAACAACACUGCAAGAGUCUUCAAUCAUUGCCAGAGCUUCCAUCAAGUAUUGAAUAUUUAUAGGCCACACAUCCCUGGAAACCUUUUCAUAUCCAUCAAGUGCAUAUGCAUCGAAGGAGUCAAGAUUCAACUUCUAUUACUAUAAUUGCUUCCCACUGGUUGGGAAGGAGCAGGGUGACACUGUGGAAGCUAUCCCACUGGGAAUUCGGCUUGUUGAAUCAAUACAGAAAUCCAUGGCUCCAAGUGAGCAUUCUGCCUUUCCCUGGGUGUGCUGUUAUUUGUUUGCGUAUGCUAAGAAUCUUAAAACAUAUUUUAAUAUGGUGUUAAAUAAUUGACACAAUCCCACAAAAUAAUCUUGGAAUACUAAUCCUAGAAUAUUAUUUCUCUACAUGCCUCCAACUUUUUCAUGAUUCCUGGUAACCCUGGUCUAUCUACUCGCUCUUGUUCCUGGAAGUAGCAUUCCAGAGUGGUUCAUCCAUCUGAGCGAGGAGUGUUCAGUAACUGUAGAGCUGCCCCCGCAUUGGUAUAAAUACCAAGUUGAUGGGAUUGGCUAUUUGUGCUGUUUCAACGCAAACAUUACUAUGGGUGAGUUGGGAGAGUUUGUAUGUUGUAGUGUGAAAGAAUCCAUUUUCACUUACAUAACCUCCAAAUAAAAAAUAAAAAAUAAAUAAAAAAUCAAAGGAAAAUGGAGAAAAAUGUGAAAGAAAAUGGAAAAUGCAAGUGGGAAAUGAAGGUUCCCAAGUGGACUCAAUUUGGACAACUUUUUUCGGUUUGUGUGAUUCAACUUAUCCUUUUUAAUCAUGUGGACCCCAUUUUAAACAUCAGUUUUUAAAAAUGUGAACCCUACUCUCAACUUUUCUUUCCAUAUAUGUAGACAUUGCAUUCAACCUUCAUUUCCAUCACAUCUCAACUUUCCAAUAGAAAAAAAAUGAUAUUAUUCCACAAUUUUGAUUUGAAACAUGCCUUAAAUUCAUGUGAAAAAUCUAACAUCCUAAUAAAAAGUUAGUUGGUCUAGGGUUCAAAUUAAAUGAGAUGCUUCUUCUUGAAAAUGCAUCCAUUUAUUGAGAUAGUGAAACCCUCUUCUCUUUUCCUUUUUAAAAUUGGGAUAAUGAAAUUUGGAUGGUAAGUCACAAUUGAAAGUUGAGAGAAACAUCCUUAGUAAAAAGUCAGUCAAACACAGGCACUUGCAUGGGAAUGGCAACGGGGCGGGUUUAGGAUGAGUUGCCCCCAUCCCAACCUCGUCCCAUUUAUUCAAAACAAUUCUCAUCCAUGUCUCAUUUAAAAAAUUAAACGGGACGGGGCGGGUAUGAUAAAUUCUCAUACCCACCCCGUCCUGCCACAUUUAACUUUUUUUUUUAAUUUUAAUUUUUUUUUAAAAAAAUUACUUUUAAAAAUUUUAAUUAAAUUAAAAUAAAUAUAUUUUAUAAAUAAUUAAAUUAUUAUAUUUUUAUAAUUUAUUUUAUUAAAAAUAUUUUAUUAUUGUCUAUAUAUUAAAAAUAAUAAAAUAAAAAUUAAUUUUAAAAUUAAAAUUAAUUUUAUAUAUAAUUAGGACAGGACGGGGCAAUACUCGAACCAGCCCCGAAUUUUAAAAAAAAUCCCAAACCCAUUUAUUAAAAUUAAACUCCAUCCCAUUAGGGGCAGGGUGGGGGAGGUACCUGAAAAAACUCGCCCCAUUCCUAUCCCUAUACUUGCAUAUGAAGCUUCUACCCUCUUUCUUUUCUACUUCUUGUUUACCUAAUCUUUAUAUAUAAAAUUUUAAAUUUAUAUUUCCAUCAUAUAGAAAGGAACCCACUGAAAUUAUUGAAUGCAGCCAAAAGCAUCAAUUAAUGUGAUGGAGAUUCAUCUUUGUCUUUGAUACACGUGGGUGAGUAAACGUCCAUACGAGAAAAAGGCAUAUUUAUCAAAGACAAAUAACAUUAUUAACCUAACUAUUAAACACUAUCAUUUAACACAUUACACUUAUAUAUAAACUACCUGAAAAUGUGCAAUUUUAAAAUUUAAAUUAAAUUAAAAAUUUUGAAAAUAAUACUUUAACUUUUAUUUGGAAAAAAAAAAUUCAAAACUAUCAUAUUUUAAUAAAUAUUUAAAAAUAAAUUGUGUCUUUCUUUUUUUUUUUUCUUGUCAAAAUCUCGGCAACCUGUCACAUUAUGAAUCAGGUAGAAUAGAUUUGAAAUAGAGGGAAAUUAAUGUGAAAACAAAAUAAAGGUGCACCAUGCUUGAAUGAUUGAAACGCCUAUUUGUUUUCCAUUGACAAACCAAAGUAAUAAGUUAAAUCAACAUCUAAGGCAGUUGUCUUGUGCCAACAUCUUCUUCACCUAUUUUUUCUUGGAAAAAGUGUCUUCUCUUAUGUUUUAAAAACUCAUAACAUUGGAUAUUAUAGUCUCUUUUUAAUUUUUAAAACAAAAGUGAAAUAUACAAUAAGUAAAAAUUGUUUUAAUCAAUUUUAAAAAUAAAGAAAUAAUAAAAUAAAAAAUCAUACCAAAACAAAUAAAAUUAAACAUGAUAUAUUUUCUUUUCUUUCCAUAAUCUAGUAUUCAUAUUGAACAUCUUAAAUUUUUUAAAAAAAAUUUAUUAAAUAAAUAAAUUUCAAAUCAAAUUAUAUUUGUUACAUAAAAGUUAUUAAUUUUAAAAAAUAAAUCAUAAAAAAUAAAAAUGAACAAAAAAGAUGACAAAUAUUUUAAUUUGAAGUGAAUAUCUUAUUAUUUACCAUUCUUAUAAUAUUUUAAAUGUAUAAUUUUUAAAAAUUCACAUGAAAAUGAAAGAUGUUAAUAAAUAAUGUUAGUGGGAUCCUUUUUAUAAGAAUCUAAAUAUACUUUUUGAGUCAUUCCUAUCUUUUUCUCGUGUCUCCCACUAGGUUCCUUUUUCUUUCUGACUUUGCAACCUUGCUUUUAUCUUCUUUUAAGGACAAAAAGAAUCUUAUGUUGUGAGAAAACACACGAAAAUUCUGGUGUUUGUUUCUUUUUUUUAUUCAGAGGAGUUUUUAUAUGAAGCCAUAUAUAUCUUGCUUUAGUUUGGUCUUCAGCCACACCCACCCUCUUCAAGUUACGAUUCUCUGGAUUGAUCAUUCAAGCUACCCGUCUUUCUUCCAACCAUUCUUCUUCCAAAUUUGUAAUGGCUUCUUCUUCAACCAGUCUCUCAGUAGCAUCUUCCUCUUCCACCCAUCCACGAAAGUAUGAGGUCUUCCUCAGUUUCAGAGGAGAAGACACCCGCAAAAGCUUUACUGAUCAUCUUCACGAGGCGCUUCAUCGAUGUGGAAUCAACACUUUCAUAGAUGACCAACUCAGGAGAGGCGAACAAAUAUCUUCAGCACUCCUACAGGCAAUUGAAGAAUCAAGGUUUUCCAUCAUCAUUUUCUCCGAACACUAUGCUUCUUCAAGUUGGUGUUUGGAUGAACUUACAAAGAUUCUU